rnacentral:lncRNA from 1 species
AAAAAUCCAGAAAGUAAAGUAGACGACAGCAAAACAAAAUCCUCCUUUGACAUACCAAAAUGAGGGCCCAAAAAGCGAAGACUUCACUCGAGCCCACAUAUAAAUUAAAAUAGUAACUUCAAAUGCGGAAAAAAAAAAAAAAAAAAAAAAAAAAAAAAAAAAAACCAAGAUAAUCAACUAUUAUACAAUAGAAUGCAAACAUCACUUAAUUAAACAUUCAUGUCUUACGAGGAAACCAAAAUUAAAGAAAUUGACAAGGAUUAUACAGGUAAUAGAAUGACAAAGGAGGCAAUAGCCGCUGUAUGAUACACAAACUAACUAUAAUGCUAAAAUCUGGCCAAAAUUUUUAUCGGAAGGUUCAAAGAUACUGUCUUCCUUCAUUGUAUCAACUAUUAUACAAUAGAAUGCAAACAUCACUUAAUUAAACAUUCAUGUCUUACGAGGAAACCAAAAUUAAAGAAAUUGACAAGGAUUAUACAGGUAAUAGAAUGACAAAGGAGGCAAUAGCCGCUGUAUGAUACACAAACUAACUAUAAUGCUAAAAUCUGGCCAAAAUUUUUAUCGGAAGGUUCAAAGAUACUGUCUUCCUUCAUUGUCUUCAAUAAGCUAAUCACUUUACAUAUUUUUACACCUUGUCUUUUUAUUGCCAUUGAUUGUGGGUACUCUGAUCUGUUGGGGAGCCGGGAACAAAGGGAACAAAACCCCGACCACCAAAUACAGGACGCAUGAAUGCAUCAUCAAACUUGCGCCAGUAGUAAUGCACAGUGUGUGCAGGGGUGGUCAGCAGUGCACGUAUGCUGCUUGGACGAGGAAUAUCAUGACCACCGAGAUCAUCCAAGGAGUCCUGAGUUUCUCCAAGAAGGGGCAGUGUAAACGAUUUUGGAGUAUUUGAAUCUGAUGAUAUUGCAGUGCUUGUUUGUUGGUGUUUUGGAUGCGGCAGCAGAAAUCUUAUCAGUGGUUUAGUCAUCAUACCGAACACCUAAGCAGGACAAAUUUGCAGAAACAGGUAAGAAAUUGCAGAUGACACCCAAACUGUGUGUGCGUCUGAAUGCACAUAAACAUAAGAACUUGUGUAGUUGGUCAGUACCAUUCAAUUCACUUUUAUUUAUUAUUUUUUAGAAAGAGGAUGGAAAGUUGCCAAUAUGGCUGCCGGAUUAACUUCAAAAUUGGAAAACAUCCAAAUAGCACAAUGAUCCAUGAAUCUGAAAACUAGAAUGUGCAUGGCAAUGUAACUUUGACCUAUCCUUUCCUUUAAGCAGUAGUUUCUUCAUGCGCAAAGAUCACAGGAAAAUAUAAACAUCAAGCAAAUAAAGUUGCAAAAAUAGACUACUUGAUGUCAUUGCAGAAAUUAUCAAGGUUGUGAGAAUAUAAUACAUACUCAACCUAGGAAAGAGAUAUCUUACCACAGUACUGAAAAGAACAACAGUUAUGGUGCUGGUAAUCAUUAUGGCAUUCCCUCGCAAAUGAGUAUGGCCCAAGCUUGUAAACUGCACUUAUUUAACAUGAAGUUGACAAAAUGAUGAUAAGUAAAUAAACAAUAUUAAUCAAAAAGGAUUGAAACAUAGCUCCAUUGAUACAUUAUGCAUCUUGGCCUCACUGAACGAUCAUGGUUUCCUUGGGUGUUGAACCCUCAUUUGCCCUCGUUUGUAUAAAAAAAUAAAAAAGAACAGCAUAUUUUACCUUAUUAUAUGCAAGUGCCAUUGAAACUGCACCUCUCAUUAGACCAGCCCACCAGAUCACAAUCUAAAGGGAAAUGAUGUUAAUAAGCUUCGAUAUAAUUCAGAACAAAAAUAAAAAAAGAAGCUGGCAAGGCAAAAGAAAACGAAUCAUUAACUUGCUGCUUGAAGCUGAUCUUCUCAGUCUGUGAUUUCCUAGAUAAGUUGGAUAUGAAGGAUAAGGGGAAAACAAAAGCUGCUCUUCCAAUCAUAACAAGUGCAAGUAAUACUGAACUAACUGCAACUGAAGUUCCAGGGCUGUGACAAGUCAAUCAAACACGGCACAUAAAUAUCAAUAAAUGGUAUUCCAACGAAGCUGUUACAUUGGGGACUGUAUUCUAAUAGACUAUAAUCCCACACAGAGGAUGAAGUUUUCAUAAAUAUUAUACACACCUGUCACUGACAAAUCUCCACUUUUCAAUAUCCAAGGCAUCCAUACCAACAUAAAGAAAGAUAAAAAUCUCAGCAACAAAUGACAUUGUUGCAAAAGCAUGCCUGCAAUGUUUGGGCGAGAUGUAAAAUAUCAAGAAAAUGAACCAGUUCCUGAUUAAAGAAAUAGUAUCAACUAUUGCAAAUAGCAUAAGUCAAAAUUUUCGAUAAGACAUACUUGGUAGUGACUCUUGAACUCUCAGUCACAUUGUGCCAGGUGUAAUGGGACAUCACAAUCCCACAGAAAAAUACUGUGAGAAUGCCACUCAAAUAGAACAGCUGCAUGACAAAUUGAAGUUAUCAUGUCAAAGUUAUAUAAACAACAAAUUAAUCAUCAAAAAAUGUAAUGAACGAAUUAGAAGGGAACAGGAGAAGAAUCUUCAGAAAGUUAAGACAAAUCUUACUUCAGCUAACAUAUAUGAAAGGUAUGCCAUGAGCAUCAUGAGAGCAAACUCACGAUCUGUUGAGUGCCUGAAUCACAUUAGACAUCAAGUUACUGUAUUAUCAUUUAGUACUUUCUUACUAUAGUGCAAAGACAGAAAUAUGUGUUUCUAUAUCUAUCUAGGAAGUAGGAACCAACAAGCAUGUAUACUCAAAUUAAAAUCAUUGGACCCCUCCAGCAAGUGAAAUAUACCGAUAGUCAAGUUCACAACAUUAUAAACCUCUACCAAAUUACAUAGGGCUUCAUCAACCCAGCCACCAACCAACUGAUAAAGUCGUGCCAAUACAUGUUUCUAAUUUAAGGACUCAUUGUGAGUAUAACAAAUGGAAGGUUACAAUAUGGAAAAGUACAAAUUAGGGAGAAAAAGAUCGAAACCACUACAUACCUGCCAAAAUAUAACUUUUUGAUGAUGUAAGCACUAAGCAGCCCUGUCUGCAUGAGGAAGAAUCAAAUGCAUUUCUCACAUUAUUGCUUGCAAGUAUACAAAAGUGUGUGUUCAAAUAUCUUUAAGUGUGGAUGCGCAAGAGAGAUAGGGUAAAGACUUACAAAAACUCCCAGCAUAGUGCUUGUGACAAAUAAAUAUAAGAAGUUGCAAAGAAACUGCCAUGCAAUUCUGGAAUUGAUAUUAGUGAGAUCAAAGCUCUGGAUUGCAUUGAAAAGCACUACUGAUGUCGCAUCAUUUACAACACCCUCUCCAAAUACUAAACUAUAUAGUAAGGGUGUCUCAUCCUGAUUAAGCACCUGCAACAACAGAUGAAACAAAUUUACAUUUAUGAAUAGUAUGUUAUAUGUCAAAAUUCAAACCAAUUCUAUUCCUUAAAUAUGUUUAACCUGCAAUGUGCAAACUGAAUCUGUUGCUGCAAAUAUUGCGCCAAUUGCUGAAAUAGUAGAACAACUCAGUAAGCUCCCAAAUGGAGAAAACCAAAAAGAAAUGAAUAAGGAAAACAAGGAGAUCAUAAAUGUAAUACCUAGAUAAUCCCCUAUAUCCAGCUGACCAAUAUCCAUUCUCUUAAAGAUUUGUGUAGCACCUGGGAGAACAAAGCUAAUAAUCAGUACCGAGUAAUACUCUUGUCAUUGAGCCAAAUCAAAUAUACUGGUUGUUGACGUCAAUAAAGAUCAAACAACAAAGAAGUUUACUUCAAGGAUUUCUAGAUAUUCUGUUUUUGUUCAAACAAUAAACAUUGGCAAGGAAAUUUCCAGACCAAAAAGUGAUCUAAUCCUGAUUUAUGUUGAGAUCCUAAGCCAAAUCCUCUAGGCAGCAAAUUUAAUAGAAUAAAUGGAAGCUAAAAUUAUUAAACUUAUUCCCCUUUCCAUACCAAACCUUACCCCUUACUUUACUAAACCUUCCCUCACUCCAUCCAAACAAAGUGAGGAAGGGGUGUGGUUCUGACAAUUGGCAAGUUUGAGUUCAUGCAAAUAUCUAACCAUGUGUUUGCCUAAAUGAAACUUCAGAAGCAUGGCAAAGAAUUAAAAAAACUGCAAGUUUGUUCUUCCAUACCUAAAGAUAUGAUGAAACAGGAUAUUAAUGUGCCAAUAGCACCAAAUAGCAUGAUAGUGAUGAAAUUACGAAAGAAUUGCUUCUUUUUCACCUGAAACCUGUGGAUGCAGGGUGAAAAAUCAAAGGUUAAAUCCAGCAAGAAGAAGUUGGUAAUUAAACAUCCAAAAAUUAAAUUAGUAAUAUCACCAUGACACCAACAUAAAACAAAUAACAGAAUGUCAAUGAUUGACAAAGGACAGGUGAGCCUUGCUCAUUACUAGGAAAACAUUAUAUAAAAAUAACAUUUUCCAGAUUUGAGAAUUUUGAAGGACAAAAAUCAAAUCACAAUCUUUAUACAUGCACAUAUUUGCUGAAAACAACCAGUUUCUGAGAGAAUAACAUGCGACUGACCAAUGCUAAAAAAGCAAGAAAUAUACCCCGCAUUAAAUAUAAUAGGCGGCAGAAGAUAUAUAAAGAAAAGAUCCUCGCUGAAGACUAAAAGAUGCGAGCUUCUUCCACCACUAAUCAGCAGAAUAACAACCCCAGUGCAUAAACCCUGCCACCAACAUAUACAGCACCAAACAUUUUAGUACAGACAAAUAAAAUCCUAAAUCAAAGGGUAUAUAUAUAUAUAUAUAUAUAUAUAAUUAAGGUAAAGUACGUUCAACAAGGUGCUUUUAUUUUAUUUCUAAAACGACUAAGAAAUCAAGAACUUAAUGAGAAUAAUAGUUUGAAUAGAGUGAUUCUCACAAUGAGAAGGGCUGUAAUGGACUCAUUCAUCCAUCGAUUCUCCUCUAGAAGAUGACCAAUCACAAUACAAGCGCAGAGAAGCGUCACAAAUAAGUUCAUAGAGAUCACAGAAGCGUGAUCAGAUGUGGAUAGCGAUUGAUAUUUUGACAUAACUGAGCCUAGAAGGGUCUCCAUGGUAUCCGCUUCUUCUCCUUAAUCGACGAAAUUAAACAGCCAAAUGGUGAUAAUUAAGCAAUAAUAAGAAAUUUUGAAAGCUUAGAUUGCUUUCCAAAAACCAAGAGUCCAAAAAAUUCUGAAAUUUUAUGUCUCUGAACUAUCCAUUCCACGGAACUCUUAAUAUCUUCAACUUCUCGAUCUCUGCAUUAAAAUAAACCAACACGAAAAUCAAAUUCUGAUUAGCAAAUAAAGCAUCAGAUAAGCUAGUCUUUUUUCUUUUUUUUUCCUAUUAUCAAAAGGGAAAUAUAAGAACAAUAAUGCAUGUUGUGUAGUGCUUGAAAUCCAUAAAAAAGCAACUACCUUUAGGAGGGAAACGAGAAAAUUAAUACUAAAAAUAAAUUCCAUUUUGGUGAAUUUUCUCAGCAACCAAAAGGAAACAAUUACCUUCACAUUUCCAAUCGCAGCCAACAAAUAAUGCAUGAAACUGCAAAUAGAAAAUCAACAAAGGGAAGAUAAGUCGAACAGAGUGGAGAAAUCAAUCUGCUUCGAAUUUCCCUUUGAAAAGAAAAGAUCUUUAGAGCUCCAGGAACCGAUUAGUGAGAGAGAAAAGAAACACGUCUUCGAAGUAAAUUUUGAAACGAUUUUGAAUCAGGUAGAAAAAGAGACAAGAGGUGAAAGUUCUGGAAAGAGAGAGAACGGAAAGACGAGAGAAAGGGGAAAAGAGAGCCGUGUUGUGCGGGAUAACACAGAGAGUAGGAGAGAGAAAGGAGCAACUAACGGCAAUGGAGGUUCGUGGAUCCUGACCGUUGAAUGUGUUGAUUCGUUUUGUCAGUUGUGUUUGUAACGGGUUUAGUGUGAGAUUGUCUAUAUGGUAAUAUAUUAGUCUUGAGGAGGGAAAAGAUAUAUUAUGGUUGGAUUUUACAUGGUAAAAAAAUAAAUACGCAAGUUAUUUUUUAAAUUUAAAAAUAGUUUAUAUACAUCUUAGUUUCCCGACGACGUCGUUGUUUAUGCUCGUUAAUUUUUAUAUAUUAAGAGUAAAUAUAAUUAAUGUAUAUUUUUUAUUAAUUUUAUAAUAAAUAGUUUACAUCACUAAAAUUUUAAGAAUAUUCACAAAAUAUAAAAAAGUACAUUUUAUAAAAUAAUAAAAAAAAAAUUCAAUUCUUGUUAAGAAAAUAACAUAUUUCUAAUAAUUAUAAUUUGACAACCAAACUCUCAUAAAAAAUUAAUUUUAAAAGAUGAGAAAUCAGUUUUAGCUGUAAUGAUACUUAACAUAUUAAUCAUUAUUUUAGAACAUUAUUUAUAAUUUUGAUAUUUUUUUUCUUUUUUUUUUAUUUUUGCUAAAGUCUAUGCACAUGUAAGUAAUUUUUUAUUACAAAAUAAAAAAUUCUCUUAAUGUAUUAUAUGAUUUGCUAAUAUAACGUGUUAUAUAUAGUUUUAUAUUAUAUAUAUAUAUAUAUUUCUAGUGAGUUUUAUUAUCUAUUUCACAUCAAACAAUGAAUCUUAUAAUAUAUCAUUUAAUAAAUAAUAUAAAUUAUAUUUACUUUUAUAUAAUAAGUUUCUUAUAGGAAAUAAUUAUAAUAAAUCAAAUUCAAAAUUUAUUAAAAUAAUAAUUAAAUAUAUUAUAUUCUUACUAUAUUAAAUAUAUAUAUAUAUAUAUAUUUAAGUAAUAUAAACAUUAUUUAAUAUAUAAUAUAAUUUCUUAUUUGACAUAAAUUUAAAUACUGAUAUUAUAUAAAUGCAUGUAUAAUAUUAAUUGUAUUUAUCUCAAUAAAAGUCUCUCAUGAAACUAUAAAAAUUUCGGAUUUAUGCUUUUAACAUAAAAAUUGUCACACUGGAAUAAUUGCUCUAUGCAUAGGCCCUACAAUACUCGAAAUGUAAUUAAAAUUAAAUGGACUUUUAAAUACAAAUUGUUAAUUGGUUAUAAAUGCAAAAAAAAAAAAAAUCUCUCAUAAAAACUAUUGAAUGGAAGAUAGGAGAUAAAAAAUACAAACAUCCAAAGAUAAUAUUUUCGAGAAAAAAAUUUCUAAACUAUUUUUUUAUAAAAUAAAAUAAAAAUCUUUUAUAAUAAUACAUAAAAAGAAAGCAAAUGGAGGAACGUUCCUCAUCGCAUAAAAUCCAUUCAUUCUAGAGAAAAAUUUCUUCUAUUUCAUAUAUUUUUUUUAAUUUAUAUUGUUGUUCUAAAUCACUUAAUAAUUUCAAUAUUCAAUGGAUUGCGUUUGGUAAAUUUGAAAUGCAUUGUUCAAGAAAUUGAAGAUGGUGGGAUUCUCAUGAUCAAAUAACUUUUUGAAGAGAAAGGCUUCACGGAUUAAAAAACUAAGGUUGUUAUGCAUUAAUUCAUCUUUUCCAUUUCUUUUAUUUUUUGAGAUUAAUAUAAUUUUGAUCUGACUGAUUUUAUCACUCAUAUAAAAAUUGAGAGAUCUCAAGUUCUAAUCAUAAAAUAAAAUUUUUAGAUCUUUUGUAUCAAAAUUGUGUUUCUACUGCUAUAUGUCAGUUGUAAUCGAAAUUUUAUUAAUCAAAGAUACACUUUUGCAAAUCAAGAUUUAAAAUUUUCAGACCUUGAACUUGAAGUCUUUAUUAGCAUAAUCAUUCUUGUUUUAGAAAAAUUAAUGUGAUUAGUAUUUUUUUUAAAAACGUCAAACACAUUCAUUUAAUAAUUAACUAUGUUUAUGUGGAAUUCAUUCAAUUAAGUAAUUCACAAGUAUCAUUAUAAUAUAAUACAUUCUAUGAUAUAUUAAUUUGUUUUUUUUUUCUCUCUUUCAUUUGAAAAAAAAAAUGAAAAAUAUAUUUUGUCCCCUCAAUUGAUCCAUCAUAAUCUAAUACCUCCAAUGACUUUGCAUAUAUUAUUCAUAUUAUUGCAAAUAAUUGUUGAAUACUACUUAUAUUUUUUAUAUUUUUAUUUAUUGAAAACUCUAACGGACCGAAAUUAUAUUACAUAUUAUACAAUAAGGGUAAUCAUCUUCUUAACUUACUAAAUUAAUGAAAAUACUCGUGAUUGAAAGAGCUCAAACUUGAGACAUUUCAAUUUUCACAUAAGUAAAAAGACGAUUCUACUACACCUGAUUGACACUAAUAAUUGUAAACACUUGUAGUUGAUAAUCAUCAGUUGAUAAAUUUUAAUUAUUUGAUAAAAUUUUAAUAAUUAUUAUUGUCAAAACGUAAAAUAAAUUUUAUAUUUACAUUUCUAAUUAACGGUUGAUUGAAAUUUAUAUUAGUUUAUAUCAGUUAUUAAUUGUUAAUUGAAAUUAAAAAAAAAAAAAGUUGAAUCAAAUCCUCUAUAAAAGGCAGGCAUUUGAUGACUGUAUUAGUAAAAAAAUAGUAGAAAAAUAAAAUAACUUGAUAUGAGAAUUUUAUAAAAUUUAUUACUUAUAAAAAUUUAAUAUAAUAAGUGUAUUGACAUGACAUGGGAUGCACUGGUGGAUACAAAUAAGCAGUUUCCUUAUGUUCAGUGACAGCUGUGAAAUGGGGAAAAGAUUACAAACCUCUGUUUCCACAUAAGACCUGAUACUGAUAGGCAACAGUGGCUAUUACUUUAAACUUGAUAAGUUUUCUACUCUACUAAUACUGCCAAAACCUUUCAGUUCUGUUUCUGUUCAUCCAGCAUGAGCUUUGGCUGUAUUCAAAUUAAUAAUGCACUAUCAUGUGCUCUUAUUAGGUGGGGCCAUACUCUUCAAGAGCCAAACAUUCUGAAUUUUCCUAUAAUUUUUUAAAUAUCUUUUAGCGAUUAAAAAUUAUUCUGUAUAUUCUCGUAACAUAAUAUUAUUUGAGAAUACAUUUUAUAAAAAGUUAAUUUAUAUAACCUUUAACUUUUAAUAUUUUAUAAAAAAUUACUCAAACAAUUAAAUAAUACUACUAUAACUAAUUUUACGGAAAAAAACUCCCAAAUUGAAUUAUUAUCAAUAGUGGCAAUUUAAUAAAUUUUAAACAUAAUUACCGUUUUGAAAACUUAUCUAAAAUCAAAUCAUUAUUUUGUUCUCAUCAAUCAAAUCUCAUUUCAAGGACAACUUCAUCAUGGCUUUUAGUGUUUAUUCUAAAACAUUAUUUCGUUUAACAUUAUUAAAAAAACUAAUUUAAAUGAUUAUUAGGCAAAAUUAGUUAUUUAGCGGAGAAUUGUCAAUUUUAUUUUUAUAGUUAUUUUUCAUCAUUGUAUUGUAGAAAAUAAAAGAAAUUUACUUUUCUAUUUUAAAAGGGGCAAAAUUUUAGAAGAAAUAAAAUAUUGUUAUCCAAAAUUGAUAAUUAUGUCCUCACUUAAAAUUAUGAGGUAUUUAAAAAGGGAUAAAGUUUGUUAAUUAAUUUGAAGUAUUCGAAUAAUUUAAAAAAUGACUGAAUUUUCCACUUUCUUUCACUAUUUUAAAACACUUUAAGCUCUGAUCGGCAAUAAAACACAAUUCUUUAUUAUUAUUUAUAGUGUUUAUAGUAUAACAUUUGAACUGUUAUUAAAAUUUAAGGAGCCAAUUAUGAAACAUUACUUAUUUUAUUAAUGUUUAAUAAAAUAUUAGUUAUUCGUUUAAAAAAAAAAAAUAAAAAAAUAAAAACAUUACAUAAUAGGUGGAUGAAAACUAUCUAAAUCUAAACAUCUGUGUGUGUGUAUAUAUAUAUAUAUAUAUAUAUAUAUAUAAAUCGUGAGGUUUAUUUUUUUUCGCGAGGUUUAUAUUUGCACUGCAGAUUUACAAAAUAUAAAAAGAUGAUAUAUAUUUUCUAAUACAAAAUAAUAAUAAAAGUUGAAAUAUUUUUAUGUUGUUCCGAAAAAAGAAUAAACAAAUCUUAUGUUAAAAUUAAAACAUAAUAAAUAAAUAAAUGAUGAAAAAGGGACUACUACUCAGCACGUUGUAGAUUUGAUUCUUAAGAUCAUUUGGACUUCUUGUUGUUAACGUUAUUACAAAUUAAAAAUAUUAAUAAAUAAAGAUUUAUUUGGCAAUCACUAAUUUCCGUUUCGUUUCGGAUCUCACUAAAAAGAAUAUAUUCCUAUUUUGAACUUUAAAAAAAUAUAAUAAUAUUUUUUUUUUCAAUAAAAAUAAUUAAUAAUAUCUUAAUCAAUUAAUAACUCUUAAACGCAUAAAGAAAACAAAAAAUAAUUAAAAUUAAAAAAAAUAAAAAAUUAAGUAGAGUAGUGGAUCCAUCUGAAUAAUUAAUGUUCUGCCAUUUUUGUCCUUUUUUAUUUGUCCGUGGAAUCGUAUUCAUAUCAUAUAUCCUAGUACAAAAGCACAUGCCCUUUGUUUCAUAGAGUAAAUUAGGAUACAUAUGGAAAAAAAAAAAAAUUAGAAGGAUAAUCUUGAAAGGAAGAGCAAUAGCAACAUAAUUAAAAUAAUUCAAAUGAUUAAUUGCCCAUCCACUCAUUUUUAUUAAAAAAAAAAAAAUCAAACGACCCAUUAUUGAGUUGAAAAACUAUCUUGGAGCAUUUGGGUAUUGUAAAAACUAUCUGCAAAUUUGAAAAAAAAAAAAAAAAAUUGAACGAACAAUUAAAUUCACACAAUGAUCUAAUGGAUUGAGUUGAAAGAAAUAAUAAAAAAAUACAUGGAGAAUCGAGACUCAACCAAAGGAAAAUAUAUAUAGGUAGGUAAUUUUAGAUAGAUAAAGAUAAAUUUCAAAAGAAUUGAUUAAUAUAAAAAAUAUUAAUUUUUAAAAUUAAAAAAUAUUUUAUUUUUAAAUUUAAAAAAUAUUUAGUAGCCAGUAAAAAAGAACAAGUAUUUUUAAAUACAUAAGAUUAAAUUUUUAAAAGUAUUGAUUAAUAUCAUAAAAUAUUAAUUUUUCAAUUUAAAAAAUAUUUUAAUGGCCAAUCAAAUUGUAAAAAUGAUAGUAAAAAAAAAAAGAAAAAUAGGAAUGCUUAAAUAAUGGAGUGACACAUCAAUAUUUUUAAAAUGGUUUUUUGCUAUAGAUGUCCGAGUAGGGGGAAUAAUGUGAUUUCCGAUAGCGCUUUUAGUGAAAUUUAGGAUAUUAUAAAAUAACCUUAAUCAUAGCUAAUUAAAAAAUUAUAUUUUAUUAGUUGAUUGGACAUAUUUAUAAAAAUUAUUUUUUAAACCAAUCAUAUGUGAUCUAAUUGUCUUCUCACUUAUUUGAGGAGUAAGAGAUCCUGAGUUCAAAAUAAAUAUGACUUUUUGGAACUUAAUAUUCGACUGAAUGGUUAAUUAACUCAACUAAUAAUGCCAUUAUUAAAAAAAAAAAAAAGGAAAAUGAAAGGAGAAGAACAGAGUCAAAACUUGCUUACUUCAAGAACAUGAACGUAGUGUUUUGUUUAUUUAUUCGCUUUUUGUGUAUCUGACAUAAAAGGAGAGCUGCGAGCACAAGAACAAAGGAUCGCUCUAUUUUCCACUUUCCCACCUUCUCUGUACUUUCAACGUGUCAAUAACACUUUCUUGUGGUUUGAUCUUUACCAGCGCGAACUUUAAUCCCAUCAUUCUUGGCUGAUCGUUUAACAGAAAUAUUCAGUAUCUUAAUCUGAACUGUUAAUCUUUUGCACAGUUCUAUGGGAUCUGGGGUUGUUAGUAUAAUUUGCUUGCUGUCAGUAACGUCAAAUAGUAUAAGUGUUGAGGAAUAAAUGCACUUUACAUGUACUCGAAGUCUUUACUCUAAGAAAGGCAUGGAUUUUGCAGGAGAAAGAAAUGCGUUCGCAUGGCUGCUGCUCUAGUUCUAGUUUUUUUUAUACACAAGACCCAACGCUCCAUCUCUUGUAGAUUACGAGCGAGCGACAGCUCAUUCGUCUGAACAGUCAAAACACUUUUAUUGAUGUAGUUUGGAGAAAUGUCCUGUCCAUAGAUCUAACGGCUCGUCGUUUAAUGCUUUUCGGGAUACCAAAUUAACAGCAACUAAAAAGCCCAUAUCAUGGAAGCUCAAAGAACUUGCAAACCUUUUAGCCCAAGUUCAAAGCACAGUGGAUUCAAAGAUCAUUUCAGCUUUGAUUUUUAAUUCAUGGGGAGGCUUAAUGAGCCCAUAAUGGAUUAUAAAAUAGCUACUUAAGUUUAGGUGUCAACGUUUGAAAAAUAAAAACCCCUAAUAUAAUCACGCUUGUAGGCGAUCCCGACCCCCGAUUCUCCAAUCCCUUGCUCUUUGAUCAGCAGAAGCAGAGAGUAGGGUUUAUACAAUUCCAAUUCUUCCUAUUUAUCAAAAUCGAUUCAAUUCAAUCAUCUUAUAAUUCAAUUUUCGGUUAUCGAUACUUAGUAGUAACAGAAAUAAGCGUAACGAAGAAGAAAAGAUGGGUGCGCAGAGAAAAGGCGGAACUAGGGUUGCAGAGGACCCAGAGGAGUUAGCUCGACAUCCUUUGCAAGCCAUUCUAUUAGCAGAUAGCUUCACCACCAAGUUCCGUCCCAUCACUCUUGAACGCCCAAAAGUUUGUAUCCUUUAUCUUUAUACGUAUUAGAGAAUGUGAACUUGAUAACCAGACGAGUACUGCGCAAAAAUAUAAUUAAUUUAUAAUGUGUGCUUUUUUAGGUUUUAUUGCCGCUGGUAAAUGUGCCUAUGAUUGACUACACUUUAGCAUGGCUGGAAUCUGCUGGAGUUGAAGACGUUUUCGUUUUCUGUUGCGCUCAUUCUCGGCAAGUGAUUGAUUAUUUGAAGGUUUCCGAAUGGUUUUCGCAGCCUAAUUUCACUGUUACAACUAUUGAGUCUCAUAAUUCUAUUAGUGCUGGAGAUGCUUUGCGUUUAAUUUAUGAACGCAAUGUGGUAUGUUUAUUUAUUUCUUGAAGUUUUCAUUAUUUUUCUUUUUUGCUUUUUCAUGUAUUCAAGUAAUGUAAGUUUGGUUGUGUCAUUUGAAAACCUGAGGACUUAUUUAAGGUAUCUGAGGGGAGUUGAUUUUAGGAGUUUAAAGGAUGGAAUGUAAAGGGAGGUUAUCUCUUAAUCUUUUUUUCUUUAGUGAUAAGUAAAAUAAACUUAAAAAGCUAGAAAACUUUAAUUUUUUAUGUUGAAUAAUGUUGUCAACACUGCCUGAUUGGCCAUAUAACUCGUGUAAUAAAAUUGGGAAGUUGUUAUAAUUUUUCUUUUGGUUCGUUUUGAGCUAUAUAUUAACUAUCAGGUUCUUUUUAAGUAAAUUAUUCUGUAUUCUGUUUAUAUCAGUGUUUCUUUUUUUACUAUGUGAUAUUCUGAUUAAUUUUAUUUUGGCUUUUGAAGAUACAUGGAGAUUUUAUCCUUGUUAGUGGGGAUACAGUAAGCAACAUGUCACUCACACAGGCUAUCCAAGAACAUAAAGAGAGAAGGAAAAAAGACAGUAAUGCAGUAAUGACUAUGGUUAUUAAACAGUCAAAGCCUUCUCUAAUUAGCCACCAGUCACGGCUUGGUACUGAUGAACUAUUUAUGGCUAUUGAUCCUGAAACGAAGCAGCUUCUAUACUAUGAGGAUAAGUCUGACCACUUGAAGGGGGUCAUACCUAUUGACAACAUGUUGCUUGCUGACAAUCCUUCUAUUUCUCUACAUAAUGACAAGCAGGUUUGUUCCUCAAAUUAUUUCACAUCUUUCAAAACUGUGUCUGACCUGAAAAUUUUUCAGUUGAUGGACCAAGCUUAUAUUUUGAGUCCUCCAUUGUUUUUUUUUUACUACCUUCUCCAGCCUUAGUUUCAAUGUCAAUUAUUUCUCUUUCUAUUCAAACAAAUUACACUGACACAUUUCUUUUCCUUUUACAGGAUUGCUAUAUUGAUAUAUGUUCUCCAGAAGUUCUGAGUCUCUUCACUGACAAUUUUGACUAUCAACACCUGCGCCGUCAUUUUGUAAAGGGAUUGUUGGUUGAUGAUGUAUGCUCUGUUCUUAACAUGCUUUAGUAAUCUUUUAAAGCAUAAUUUAUGAGUGAUGUGCUCAGUGCAUGUGAGAACUUGCUUAUGGACAUGUAUAUGUUAUGUUGGAUCCUGAUCAUAGGAAUGCGUGUGCACAUAUGUUGGCAUGCAUAUGCGCAUUAUGUCUGCUGCCUGUUGACGUAUGGCUUUGUGUUAAAGUCAUAAAAAGAAUGUAAAAAUCUGUUAGCCUGUCACUUGAAUAAUUGUUUUUAGUUCUUUUGCAUACCUAUUUAUGUUAAUGUCCCCCUGAAGAGCAGUCAAUGUUGCGUUGCAUAUGUCUGUUAGCUGCAAAAGAGACUUAACUAUAUAUUACUAACUACCACUAUCUCUAACCCUCCUGGGUAAACUUUGAUGUCUUCACUUUCAAUCUUUUUGCAUUUAUUGAGAUAUCCAUGCACAUUUGUUUUUGUUUAUUUUGUCAUAUUUUUUCUCUCUUAAUUUAUUUGUCACAUUAAAGUUAAAUAACUUUUGAAGAAGUAUCUUACUAAUUUGUAUUUAAAAUUUCACUUGUCACUUGACAUUCUUCUAUUAUCAUCUGCUAGAUAUUUCUCAUUACAGUUAAAAUUGGCGAUUCAUUGAAAGUUCUUACAUUCUACAGACAACAUAUUGAUGCUUUGCAGAUUAUGGGUUACAAAAUAUUCACUUACGAGAUUCACUCAAGCUAUGCGGCUAGGAUUGAUAACUACCGAAGCUAUGACACUGUCAGUAAGGACAUCAUUCAGAGGUGGACAUACCCAUUUGUGCCAGAUGUGAACUUUUUUGGAAAUUGUGCAACUAAGCUUGAUAGACAAGGGAUGUACCGCGCAACAGGUAAGAAUUAGUAGUCUACUUUACUUUGAAACACAUUAACUAUAUUUAAUUGUAUUUUCUAAUAACUUUAUUUCUCUCACCUCCUCUCUCACUCUCUCUCUAUGUGUGUGUGUGUGUGUGUCUCUGUCUAUUUAUUUCAUGUUUUGAAUUUUGCCUGUUUUGCCAUUAGCAGGAACUGGGAACUUAAUAAUGCCAGCUCAAACUGCAUUUUACUGUUGUCUUGAGCUUUUUAAUGUCUUUUUUUUUCUUGUUUCAUUGUAUGGAGAUAUAUUAUUGUAAUUGUAUGCAAUUCUGAUUUAGGAUUGGAAAUAUUUAGCAUAUUUUUCUGAUGCCAAUAAAUAAUUUAGGAGAUUUGUUUAUCCCAUUUGUUGGCUUAGAGUACACCAUUGAUGGUAUAGUGAACCAUUAUAUGGAUAUGAUGAAAUGGCAUUUCUUCAAUAAUUCAUUAUUAGUUUAGUUAUUAUGUGGUAAUUCUCACAAUGUGAAAUCCCUCAUCUCCGUAGCAUGGUAUUUUUGCAAGGAGCUUCUGACGAUAUCCUUUUGGAUAAGUUGUUCUUACCGGCACAUUAUUUUCAUUUCUGUACAGAAAUAGAACAAUCACGUUCUGCACAAAUUGGUCCUUUUACUGUUGUUGGAAAAGGAACCAGAAUUGGGAACAACUCAAAAAUUUCAAAUUCUGUUAUUGGAAAAGGCUGCAAAAUCGGAUCAAAUAUUUCAAUAGUAGGUUCCUAUAUAUGGAAUGAUGUCACUAUUGAAGAUGGCUGUCAACUAAGGCAUGCAAUUGUAUGUGAUGGGGUGGUAAUUAAGUCAGGUGCAGUUUUGGAACCUGGUGUGGUAUUGUCUUUCAAGGUAUUUGCCUUCUCUUUCUAAUGUAUUUUCUUGUCGUGCUGCUUCUCAUUGAAUUUAACAUGCUAGCAAGAUAAUCACUGAUUGAAAUAUUGUUUAAUGUUCUGGGCUGAAAACUUCAACUGAAAAGGCAAAAUCCUUUUUCCGAAAUAUUUUGGGAACUAUAAAAAUAUCUCGACAUUGUUUAAUGUUUUGCACUGAUUUAGAUUUAUGUAGGAAUUAUCUCAAUUCAAUGAAUGUUAAUCAGUAGGAAUUUACUAAUGUAUUCCCUUAGGGUGAAAUAACUUUAUCUGUCAAUUUUCAGUGAGUUCUUUUUUUUUUUUUUAAUCAUGCCGGCCAAUUUUCUUUUUUGGCUCACCUCUUUAAAUUUUUUUACAUAUACUCCCGAAACAAAGGGGCAGGGGAUAUUAUAUUAGAUACACUUUAUUACAGACUAUAAGAAAUGGUAUAAGAAUGUGGAUAUUAUCUAGGAAGGAAAAUCAAGAACUCUACUAUUAUAGGCUACAAUGGAGUUAAGUUAGAUAUUUAAUUGGCAAUGAUCUCAACAAUUUUAACAAAGAUUUGGCAUUGAAGUCGUUUGACCAUCAGUAUUAAGGACACCGUUGCCAAGGAAAUCAAAGAGGUGGAAGAGGUCAGUUUUCUAGUAGAGGUGGUAGUAAUAGUCUUGACCCUCAAGCAUAUGAUGGAUGUUGGCCGGGUCCUGUGGUGAUCAGACAGCAGCUCAAAGACGAAGCCAGUUUCUACGAAAAUUUGGUCAUCAUGUGCUAUUAGGUUAUUACUUUCAAGCUCAAAAUGAAUGGAGGUCGCAUUUUUUAAGUUUGAUAUGUGUAAUGAGUUCAAAAUCUUGCCACGUUCUAAUUGUCUGUUCUUGAUUUAUUGACUUCAUCUGUUGCUUUUAAUUUAAGUUGUGCUAAUGUUUUCUUUACUUCAGGUUGUUAUUGGACAGCAAUUUGUUGUCCCUGCCUACUCAAAAGUGUCUUUGCUUCAACAGCCAACUAUGCAAGACAGUGAUGAAGAAUUGGAGUAUGCUGAUAAUAACAGUGGAACAAUAGAUUCAUGUAAGUUCUUGAUGUUUUAUGUGCCUCUGCACGCUCGAGUGUGUAUGUAUGUGGGGGAGAGAGAGAGAGAGAGAGAGAUGAUGAUGAUGAUGAUUCAUUGGCUCUAUUCUGUUGUCUUAUUAGAAUUUUUUUGUUAUACAACAGUUACAGGUACUGGGGAUAUUCUGAACAAGGAGAUGACAUCUGAAUUAUCUGGGACUCAACAUUGGCCAGCAUCAGAGGUUAGCUAUUAAUUUUGGUUUCUGCUUUGAAUAGCUGUGACUGCUAUUCCGUGGUUGUUAUUUUAUAUGUCUAGUUUUAUAAUUUUCUUUUUGUUACUCUGCCAUUUUCUUCAAAAUUUUUAUAUGAAAGCCUGAAUUAUGGUGAGAAAGAAGUUCAUGCCUAGGUGUAAGGACAAAAACAAUGUUAAUGUGGAAUAACAAUGACCAAGUACAGAGUAUAUAUAUUGGAAAUGCAAAGGUGUAGCAACCAGAUAGCUGGUUCAUUUCUUCAGUUAAUUGUCUCAAUCCUUACUGCAGUAUAGGCUUGUUAUAUAUGCUGUCUACUUAUUUUGUUUUUUUAAUUUUUCUUCUUCUUGGUAACAAGAGAACUUAAAUAGUCAUUUAUCGAGCAACUGUAUAUCAUGCUUAACACUUUUUAAGUCUCAUCAGCUUGGGCCUGGUGGUGCUGGUUAUGUUUGGUCAAUCUCUGAAGGAGUUCAUGAGGAUGAAUGGAGGCAUUCAGUUGCACCCAUUCCUGCUGAGAAACUUGCUGAGGCCAUGCAAGCUGUAGAAGAUGAUUGGGAAUUGUUGAAUCUAGAUAGCAGUGCUCUAUCACCUUCCGGAGAGUUGAAACCUGGCUCUCAGAGUGAUGAUUCUGAAGAUGAUGAAGGUUCUAGAGAUGACACCUUUGAGAAAGAGGUAAAAAACUUCAACUAGAACGAUGAUGAGAAUUUUUCGCACAAUCUUGAACCUACAAUAAUGGUUUACAGGUUGAAGCAACAUUUUUGAGGGCUGUUCAUGAAAAUAUCAAAGUUGGAGACAUAAUCCUUGAGAUGAACUCACUCCGGUAUGCUUCAUUCCAUUUAUUUAGGCACCUUGCUCCAAUAAUGUUGAAAUAUAUAUCAUCGUCUGAUGAAUUUUUAUUUAGUCUAAACAGUGCAACUCCUUUCAUAUUCCUUCAAAAGCUAGUGUAUCUACUUGUUUGCAUUUAAGCUACAUGUGAAAGUGAGGAAAAAUUAACAAAAGUUCUCUUCAUGUUUUGCUGAUUACUUGUCAAUGGAUAGGUGGGCUGAUGAUAUAGGUGAAUGUUUCCCUCUGCAUACUUGUGCAGAAUUUUUUUACUUGCAAUUUAUGUUGUUAUCCCUGUCAAAGAAAAGAAGAAAUGAUCUGUGUUAGAUUUGGAUGAAUGGUGUCUCAAAUCCUUCUUGGCCAUGAGACUUAACUGUUCAAGCUUUUAACAAACCUUUCUGAGGUCAUAUUUGUUCCUACCCAUGUUGUGAGCUUUGUUUGUGAUACUUAUACUGCUUGAACUAUCAAAGAAGACAUAUUUCUCAGCCAUCGUUUUCCUCAACCAAGCUUUUCUGUCACUCUUUUUAGGUUGUCGUACAACAUGACAUCUGCAGACUGUGCUGGAGCGAUAUUUUAUGCAAUGAUGAAAUUGGCAGUAGAAACUUCAUAUACUUCAGCUGGUAAUUUUAAAAUCUUAAGCUGUUUUUUGUAUUGUACAUUCAUGCCAGCAUAGAGCAUUUUCAUAUCUAGUGAUUAAUCCAGAGCUAAAAAAUUUUUCUUGGAGAAUGAAAAUGCAUAUGAAUUUUCGCAAACCAAGAUAGGAUGCAAAGCUGUGAAUUUUUUGACUGGGUGUGAUUCUCACUACAAGUUCCAUCUUACUAGAAGCAUAUCUCAUUUUAAACUUGUGAUUACUUUCAUUUUAUUUUUUCGAUGUAUAGGAUGGAACUCUAGCUUUAUUAAAAUUGUUAAGUUUAUAGCCCUGGGAGCUGACUAAUGCUUUAUGUCGUUUAAAUUUAAAUUAACACUUCAUUUUACCUCUCAGCUGAAUUGUGCAAAAAUGUUGUCGACAUUCUAAAUACAUGGCAAAAGCUGCUAAAGUUCUAUGCAAAAGAAAUAGAUGACCAGGUUUGCGUUUUUUAUGUUCUCAAUUAAUUAUUGUUUCUUUGGCCAAUGCACAUUUUCCCUGUCAAUUUAGAAAGACUGCCUAAGCUCUCUGUUGAAUCCCACUUUAUUUUGGAACAUUUUUCCUGCAUAAUCUGCUGCUAUUAAAUCCUGGUCGGAACCAGUUUAUCUUUAACUAAACUCUCAGGGCAGAACCAGUUUUCACCGAAUUGCUGAUUCAAUCCUGCCUUUAUUUCUCACUUUAAUUGGCAUAACAUUGCUCAAAGAUGUUUUGUACUUCAAACUAAAUUUCCAUACAUGCAUCAGAUUUUUCUUUUUAACUGGAUGUAUAUCACCAUUUGCACCUUAUAUUUCUGUCUUUUCUCUAUUGAUCAUUAACCAAUGGUGCUCUGUAUACUUAGUCAUACUUGUCCCUUUGAACUUUGAUUAUUGUAUUGUUGUACUUAGUCAUGCAUGUACCUUCAUACUUGUUGAUCAUCCAGUUUACUCUUUCUAAUUGGGUAUAUCCUACCUGAAAUAUCAUAUCACUCUCUUUUUAGUAUUUCCCUUUGAAUGAGAAUCUUCACAUCAUAUGGAGAAAAUAAAAAAUUUCUUACUUUUUUCUAUGUUUACUUGGAUAUGGUUGCAUUACUAUCAAACAGUUCUGUCAAUUGAUUGAGUAAAAAUUUUAUUGCUUGAUCAAGUAAAAAUUUUGAACACCCAACAUAUUUGCUCGUUCCAUAUCUUAUAUCCUUUACUUGAAAUUGUCUAUAAACUAAAUCUCAUCAAUGAUGGAAUGGACAGAUUGAAGUGAUACUGAAAUUUGAAGAAAUGUGUCUAGAGUCUGCCAAGGAGUUUUCUCCCACUUUUUCCCAGGUAUCUUUCUUGUCUUGGGUUUAUGGGUGUGACUAUUCAAGCAUUAGUCUGGAACCUAUUAACUAAAAGUUGCACAUAUUGAGUCAGUUUCAUAUUCUGCUUUGGUCAGCACAUAAUGCAUUCCUGGUUUUACAGUUAGGUUUGCUUCAAUUGGUAAGCCGAUAAAAACUAAUCUAAUCCUAAAGGUGUGCCAAAUUAUCAGUCAGCUCCUGCUUAGAAUGAAAGGAUAUUGCUUAAGUCCUGCAACUAUGAGUGAAGGCCAAGUCCUAUGUCAUUAUGAGGACUUAAAGGAAAAUCUAUAUGAGGCGCCUUUUUAUGAUUUAAAUUAAUGACGUAGUGUUUAGAUUGUGCAAGAAAAAAGGUGCUAGCUUGUAAUUGGAUAUAGACGUGAGUUUGGGGAAAGAUGCCUUGGUCUUUGCAAGUUAAUUUGGCUGGGUGUACUUAAUCAAAUUUGGGGAUAUACUUGUAGCUUGCUUUACUUGUCUAGGCUGAGAUUUCAAACCUUCCGAAGUCCAUUAAAUUCCUAAUAGAAUAUUCAGGCUGAACGACUGAUUCUUUUACCUUUAUAUUCUCUUAGAUUUUGCCUAUUUUAUACGAGAAAGAUAUUCUUGAAGAGGAUGCCAUAUUGAGAUGGGCUGAUGAGAAAAAAGAUGCCGAGGAAUCAGAUAAAGUUUUUGUCAAGCAAUCAGAAGCAUUCAUUCAGGUAAGGUUUCACACUUGCUAUUUCCAGUUGUUAUUCUUGUUAUCGACUUUUAGACAUGGGAUAUUCUGAAUUUGGAUCCAUACAAUAUAUGUCCUAUACAGCGGAGGCAGACCCAUAUGCUAUUUGCCGAACUAGCCUUUACCUUAUUAAUGACGAUGAGCAAGGAAGGAUUAUUUUCCUUCUUCUUUUUAAACCCUAAAUCUAAUGUAUACUUCGUUCUUUUAAAAUCACACUUUGUUAUCAUUCUAAUGGAGCUGUGAUUGCGUCAAUUAAGAGACAAAAGUUUGAGUGCGUCCAGACAUGUAUAAUUCUAUUCCAUGGCUUACAACUUGGAUAUGCAUUGGGUGCAGUGGUUGAAGGAGGCAUCCGAAGAAGAAGACUAAGAUGGAAAAGAAAGUGAUUUAACUAACAGAGAUUGUAAAGAACAAUAACUACUCUGGCAGAUUGAUGCAUCAUGUUUUGUGUGGGUUGCUCGUUGAAUUAAGGGCCCCUUUGAGUUGUGAUGCUUAACUUCCCAUUUUGUUAAUUAAGCAAUCUAGUUCUGUCCAUUAGCCUGUUGUUUUCUCACCACCUGUUGGAAAAAGUUUUGCUAUUGGUUCGCACCAAUCUUCGCAUUUCAAAAAGCUGGGGGCACACUCAUUACUCAAGUUCCUCUGUAUUUUAAUCUCUUUGAUGCCACUCUGUGCAAGCAAGAAGUGUUCUGUGCAUCAGAGAGUCCCAUUGUGAACUCGGUAUUAUUAUAAAGGCUGACAUUUUUGAAUUGUAUGCAAGUAAUGUUCUUUUAAUGGUUUUUGCUAUUGCAGUAAGCAUUCUUUUCCAACCAUUUAGUCUCUGUUCUGUUCUCAUAUUCAUCUUUAGCCGGUCAUUGUACGAGGCCUUUUUACCUUUCAACUGUGUGCAAUGCAAAAAUUCAUAUAAAAUUUGUUUCGUAUGACAGAAAAGAUUUAUUUCAUUAUCACCGAUUACAAGUUAUUUAAAACAAAUAUUAUAAUUCUAGUAUAUGCAUCAUUUAACAACCAAAUUUUAAACUAACUGACUAGGUGUUGGCUGUUAGUGGCUUGAAUUGAAAUAUCCCUUAUAUAAUUUUAGUGAAUUGAAAUACCCUUUAUAACGGCUCAGUGGCUUGCUCAUUAGUGAAUGAAGGAAAUUCUUAUAUAGCAGAAAGAGAAAUACAAGAUAUGAGUGCUCAUAGAAAUGCACUUCUAUCACACAAAUAACAGGACAACCUGCUAACAAUAUCAACUUAUAUAUACCAUCUCUGAGUCUGAGGUAACGAUGGCUGAUCAGAAUCGAGGUGGACCGGGAGGCCCAGGUGGACCGGGAGGCCCUGGUGGACCGCCAAACACUGGCCCACAGCAACUCUCUAGGAUGCAACAGCAGCAAAGGAAAUACAAACUGCAAGCAAAAAUAUAAUAAUAACAGUAAAAUAUACAAAUACAUCUUUGCUUCUUUUCUUUAUAAAAAUAUAAACAAAUAUAUGGCUUACCAAGAAGAUGCAAGCCUGCAUAUCCCAUUGCAGAGAAAAUCACAGCAUCCGAAACAGCCUGGUCCCGGAGGUCCUCCCGGCGGCGGUCCCCAACCCGGUGGUGGCAUCUUUCUCUGAGUCUAUAUAUCUCAAAGCGAGACUUAAAAAAAAUAUUCGACAACUAGUUGGUUGGUGGUGCGUCACAAGAAAAUUCUAUGAAGAUGAAGAUAUUAUAUAGACAACUUAAUAUUUAUCGCCAUUGUUGAGUAGCGAGAAAGGGACAACUUAAUGGCCAAGGAUUAUGACAUGAAAACCUUGGAACAGUAGGUACAAAUCACAAUCACAUGUACAUGUAGUAGUUUGAAUCUUAGGAUAAGUGUGAGAGCAUUUUAUCCACUCUUCUAUCAGACCUAAUCUUCAAACCCUAAAAAGCUUUCUAUGCAUGUUUUUAACAUUUUGUUCAACAACUUUAAAUGAAACAUUGGGCCAUGUGUAUAAUAUAAUUUGUAUUUGGCUCCUUGUUAUUGGUGUUGGCAUUGAAAAUGACUAAAGAAUAGACUAGAUUUAGCACCAAAUGUCAAUAAGUUUGUGCAUUCACUUUAUGUGAAUAGACUUCAUUUUGUUGUUAGUCAUACAAAUUUAUUAUUAGACUUACCAAAUCAAUUCAUAAUCCGAAUUUAUAUAAGUCAAUCUCAUGAACUCAAGACAUACGUACCAUCACAAAAUUACAAUAUAAAAGAAGGAAGUUGAAAAAAUGAACAUGAUUUGUGUAACACCUUAGGCGAAUCCCAUCCCACAUCGAUUAAGUGCAAAGUGCAAGUAAUGUUAAUAAGUAUGGACAGAUUUUAGACUGUCAAGAGGUCUUUUGGAUGGUCUGGCCAUGGUGUAAAGAGAAUACGGGCAGAUUUGAAGUAUUUAGUCAUAUUCACAGACAAAAGGAGAGAAAAUUUCACUAUAAUUGAAAAAAAAAAAAAAAAUUAUAAUCACACAAAGUCUCUAACUCAUAUUCGAGUAGGUUCUUCCAAAUUCUCAUACAAUCUAUUGAAAUAGACAGAUUUGGAGUAUUUAGUUGUCCCUUUAGCCUCACCAAAACAUGUUCAAAAUUUAAACAGUUUUGAUAAAUAAUAUAAAUAAUUGUAUUUUUAAUAUAAUUAAUUUCUUGAUUUUAUUCGUCAUUUGACUGCUUAAUUUUUUGUUCAUUGAUUUUAAAAGAAUUGAAAGAAAAUUAUUUAUAAUAAUUAAAUGUUGCACGUAAUUGCGAGAGUGCACCACUAAUAAUCCGAUUAAUAAAGUCUGUUCAUUAGAUAUUGUUAUUAAUUUAAUUAAUUUGGAUAUUUACAUUUGUUAAUUCCCAUUUUGCUUGUAAAAUCACUUUUAUAACGUAAUUAAAAUUCAUAUAUAAAGGUUAAUAUCGAAAAAAGAAAAGAAAAUGAAUCUAAAUUGAAUAUGAAUAUUCAUAAAAUAAAGAAAAUAGAUCAGAAACUUGAUAUACAUAGAAUCAGCGAACCAAUUAUUAUUACAAAUAUUAGGUAGGCAAAUACAUAUUGCAUACAAAUUCCUACAGUAUUACUGAAAACGUAAAAUGCAGCAGAUCAUGGAGGAGGGGGACCGAAUGGGCCAGGUGGGCCGGGAGGGCCGGGAGGGCCCAUUGGACCACCAAAGCAAUCUUGCAGUAACCAGCAACAGCACAAAAAGCUCAUGCUGCACAAUGUGAACACACAGUAAUCAGGCAACAACAAGAUCAUGAGUUAACAUAAACCGUCAAAUUUUUUUAUAAAAUAAAGUAAAAAUUGAUUAUAUAUAUGAAAAAAUUGUAAAUACAAAGUCGGAAACAAUUACAUACCAAGCUCCAAUAACGUCACAAAAGCCACCGAAAGGACCAGGCGGUCCUCCUGGUGGCGGACCGCCCCAUCCCGGUGGCCCAGGUCCUCCUGGUCCCAUAUAUAUAAAUAGAAUAUAAUAAAGCUAUAAAGGAAGUAACCAGAAGAGACUCCAAAAACCGUUGGAGACAGGAGUGAAGAAGGGGAUAAUGAGGUUUUUAUAGCCCAGUUUUGCUUAAGCUAGAAGCCUCCAUUGUCACAAGUACAUUUAUCACUACUUUGUAUGACAUGGUAUCUUCCAAUCCAUUCUUAGUAUCUAAUGGUAUUCAUCUGCUAUUCUUCUUCUUCUUCUCCUAUGGCUACCAGUCAAAGCUAUUAGACCGUUAAGAAAGCCCAGUGGAUGUUGUGGGUGCUUCAAUAAUGUUCUGUUUUUGUUAUAGCGGUGCCCUUAUAAUUGGUACCAUCAAAUUGAAAUUCACAUUACAGGCUUGCCAUGUUCUAAAGGAGCCUCCUUUUUUCUUUUUUCUUUUUUCUUUCUACAUGUGUUUUCAUAUUCCGAUUCGAUAUAAAGUCUUCUUAAUAAUGUCAAAUGGGAUUAUUUUCGAGUAUGAAGAAGGAAAAAUUUUUAUACUGUUGAAAUAUGAGUAAUAUGUAUUUUUCCAUUAGAGUAAGGUAUCAAUUAUAAUGUAAAAAGUUAAUAUUCUUAUGAAGUGCCUAAUCACAAUAGGGCAAGUUUUUGUUAGGCUACAUGUCAAGAUACUGUCUUAUGAAUUUACCAUACUGCAUCAUGGCUAUCUUGGCCUUAGAUUGUAUCACAUAAAACCCCAGUUUAAAGGUUAAAAUUGCCAAAUCACGAGCUCGUUCCACUGUACUGAAAAAAAUUACAUAUAAUCCUGCAAGAUAGUACUCGGAUUGUGUUCCUAUAUAGAAAAGAACAUGGUGCACUAAAACUUGGGAAAAUAGAAAAGGGGAUUUUCAUAGGAGUUAUCCAGAAUUUAAGACAAGGGAGGAUUUUUUUUUUUUUUUUUUUGGUUCAAAUUAUCUAAUCUUGAAGGUUGAAACUUCACGUAAUCCCCUAGAACCUGGCUCUAAUCCCCAGUAUUACAUUUUCUGACCUAACCCUAAUCGACAAGAAAUAGGUAAACUCCACCCCAUCUAAAGAAGGGGCAGAUAUGAAAAGAUAAACUCAAUCCAGCCGGUAACCUACCUCAUGAAUAUAUACAUUUUAAAUAACCUUAUAUUUUCUUAUAGAACCCAUCUCAAAUCCGCCCCGCCCUGUCCUGCCUCGAUGCAGGGCAAGUGGCAAGAAUGAUAUUUAAUCUCGCAGGGAGGCGAGUACAGGUAUUGAAAAACCUGCCCCAUAGCCAUCCUUGCUAACAAGGUGCCAAAUAACUAAGCAAACACGAGUUUGUUAAAAAAACAAUAGUAUAAUAUUGAAGCGACAAAUUUGGAGGGUAAAAUACAAGCGUGGCUUCAAAAGCCGCCAUGGAAGCUAAGAAAAAAAAAUUGCCAAAAAAAGGGCAAAAGCAUAAGAUAAUGGUAUAUACCAUGGGAUGUUAGAUAUUCUACAGGCUCCUGUGUCAGCUGUGUGAAACAAUUGGUUUUGCUAAUCUACAUGUAACUAUAGAGGCAAAUAAAACUGGCCUUCUAGUAUAGUAUGUUUGUCAAAACAGAUCUUUUUUCUCUUCGACUUUUUAUCUGUACAUCAAUUCUGCAACUAUCUCACAUAAUGGCGGCCAAGCCCACAUAAUCCCCCUCGUCAAUUCUGGUUUCUGAAGCAGUAACUGAGCCCCGAGGUCUCACUGAAAGGAGGGCAACAAGCUAAUAAGGAUAAUUGACAUUGAGUGUAAUAGAGUUCAACACAGGUGAUUGCUCUCUUAUGAUAUUAAAUUACUGAUUCGCAUUAGGGCGAGAAAAUAUGGGCAGAGACAAAAUGAUGCUCUGUCAAAGAAAAAAUAUCCAAGAGAUCCUAAUGAUGUUGGAGAGAUUACCUGUAACGUUUGUGAUUACAUUUACACUUUUUUGAGCAGCAAGUGCUUUUAACUUGUUUCCACUGGCUAAUAAAAGCAAGCUUUUGAGGUGCUGCUUCUGUUCCUUAGGACUAGAUGUCUUUGUCAAAGCUUCUUCAAACGCAACCAAAUCUUGGGGUGUUAUACAAGGGAGAGAGAGUAGGACCUAGGGAAACAAAGGCACUUCUCGAUCAGAUGGUGGGAUUGCACCCAUAAAGUUUUACCCAGCACAUUAAUAUAGAAAACGAUACGCACCUGUCUUGGGGCUGGAUCUCUAUCACGAAGAUAGAUGAAUAUUUCUCGACAGAGACCAACAAGUUCUGCACUGAUAACUGCAUAUGACUCGAGCUCCAAGCCUUUGACUAUUGCAAAGAACAAAUCUUUUGAAACAAAUUCUCGAAGUUCAACAUUAUUUGUUAAUAUAGCUAGAUGAAUUACGGUAGCACAAAAUGAAGAAACUUUUGUCACUGUUUCACCAUCCGUCCAUGUGAAAGCUUCUAAACAAAUCUGCAAUGCAGGAAGCGCCAGGCUUUUGUGCUUCAAAAGGAAACUGUAAAUGAAUUAAAUUUUAGACAUGAAACGCCCUCAAGGAUAAAAUAAAAUCACUUCAAUAAAUAAACAGAAAAAGCUACUCUUACAAUGACGUACCCAACCAUGGAGUUCGAUGCAAAUGCUUCCAGGUCCUUUAGUGAAGAUGUAUCACCACGGCUGAUGUGCCCAGAUUGUUCUAAAGAAGGAAGUCCCAUAUUUAAUCCUGGUGAAGCUAUAGCAGAGAGAAGUAAGCAAGUCUCACGAGUUAGAUCUCGAAGCAGUUUCUCCUCCAUCACUUCCACUUUCAUGUCUGACCCUGGAAGCAUGCCAUGGACAUCUGGAACCUUUGCUUUACCUUCGUGCAAAAGACUUGACCAAGAAAAGUUGAGAACUUGCUGAACAUGGAGAAAUAAUGGGUAUAGGAGCUUUUCCAGCCAGACUUCCCACAUCUCUGAAGGACAAAAUUUGACCAAAUAUAUCAGAACUGAGUGGACAAGCUGUCUUAUAUGCCUGAACUCCAUGGACUGUAUGUUUUCCAUUAGUGCUACCCCAACAGAAUGAACAUCCAAACAUUUAAAAAAUGGAUCUCCAAUGGUCAUAGAUAGGCCCAAGACAUUGUACCUGGAUUUGUGGAGGAAACAUGAGCACUUCAUUUGGAGGAAGCAUACAUCAAAUGGUAAAAUAAUAUAUAUGGUUCUAUAUAACUAACUCACCCCUCACCCCCCCUCUCUUCCCCCAAAAAAUAUUUUUUUUUUUUCCUUUUCACAGCAAUAUAACUUGUACAUGCAGAAAACUCAGAUGAUGAGCUAUUAGUGUAAGGGAAUGAUCAUUUGCUUCUUAUACAACUAUUUAUAUACCUGAGUUAGAAGAAUAUGGGUUGAGGUAAUAGGUCUAUCUCAUGGUAUUCAUUGUAUAUGUAUAGCCUUCAGUUUUACUGGAAUUUGUUCUUCAGAAUUCCAUGGCUGUUCAUUCAAUGAGUAAGACUACUACAACAAGUAAGCAUUAAUUGCCAACUAGUUUGAGAUUGGCUAUACGAAUCGUUUGUUCCAUUGUACUCUUUUGAUAGCAAAGUCUGCACUAAUGCCAAGAAGCAGUAGAUAUUCUGAGACAACUUCCCUCUAUGUGGUCGUAAGUCUACACCUUCCCCAUUUGCACCCUUCACAAUCAAUAUAUCACACUUACGCAUUAGAGCACAGCGGGAUCUACAUUGAACAUGAUCAAACCAUCUCAGACAUCCUUAUAUCAUUUUAUUCCAACUGGUGCUACCUGGACUUCUUGUCGAAUGUGGUCAUUUCUCUAGUCUUGUCUAACCUUGUAUGACCACAAGUCCAUUUUAACAUCUGCAUUUCUGCAAUAUGUUAAGACAUUAAGAGCUCAACCUUCACUCUCAUAUAACAUCCCAGGUCCAACCGCUAUUCUAUAAGAACUUGCCUUUCACUGAGUAAGACUAGCUAAAUGAUAUAUAUUUUUGGUUUGCAGAGGAAGAGGGGGGAGUCUAUGUCAAGUUGGGAUACACACCAACCACCUAUGUUGCACGGAAACGGAAACAAGGAAAUGUGAAAACAAUACGGGGAAAAGACAUUUAAAAAAUAAUUUUACACAGGAAAACAGUAUUUUAUACAGGAAAACGAAUAUGCGGAAAUGUUUCUGAAAUGCAGAAACACCCAUAGCUAGAAGUUUCCGUGCAUCAUAGCCUACCACUAAGCUUGCAGAUGUAAAUGGUAAACUUUUAUUACUAUUGUUACUGUUUUUUUGCAAUGAAUUAAUGAAAAAGUUGCACUCAUUCUACCUAUAAGAACAGUGGCAUUUCAAAUGUCACUGAGCACGAAGCAUACUACAAGAGUUAAAAAAUCAAUAACCCUACAUAUGGGCUCUGAACGUGGAACCCUCACUAUCCUCAACUGAAUCCAAGUAUUCUGACUUUCAGGACAACGACAUAAAUAAAUACAGAACAAAUUUCAUAGGCAAAGUUAAAAACCACCUCCAAAAGCUCAUACUUACCCACUAUCUCUGAUGCCUUUCAACCAAUUUCGUAUAUCAGAUUCAUUAGUUUCUGCAUAGCCUUCCUUACUCAUGUCAAUCUGAGAUCCAUCUGCAAAAGUUAAAGCACCCUUGGGCAAUUUAAAAUUCCCCUCCCCAAGAAGUGCAUAUCGCUCAAAAUCGCUCAUGGUCAUAGCAGCUUUCAGUUCCCCAGGUAGUCCUUGAGAUAUGGAUGGAGACCAAAGAGAAUGUAUUGCACGAAGCAACUGCAAAUAAAUACCAUUUUUUUCAGUAGUAAUGGACAUGAAAUACAAAAACAUGAACAGCAAAAAUAACAUUGUUUGUUCUUAAGAGCAACACACAUACUUUCAGGAGAGGAGGCAGCAUCCAGGAUAGAUGUGAAGCCAUUGGAUGCAAAGGAGUACUUGCUGUUGAGCUGUUUUGUGAAUUCAAAAUCCCCUUUCUGGUUCCACUCCUUUUCAGUGCCUUCUCAAAGAAUGUCACAGUGUGGAAAAUUGACCACAUAAAUUGGGUCUCAGAACACAAACGAACCAGACCCAGUGGUUCAGACAAAUAACUAGUUUGCCACUCCAGUUGCAUCCAUUGUUGGCUCAAAGGUUCAAGUAACCAGGCCAAAACUUCUUGCUGCUGUUGAAUCCUGUAUUCAAUUAAGAAACUUGAAGCAAUAAGCAAGAUAUCCCUCACAUUAGUUUCAAUACAGAUUCUGCUUAUUGUUAGCAAGAGAUUACCCAGCAGCAGAAGCCAUGACAAGAAAUGCUUCGCCUAAAAGAUUAUGUUCGCUACGAUGCAGACAACCUUCUCGUUGCAUAUAUGCCAUAGUAUCAGCUAUACCCUACAGUAAAACAGCCCGACAAAGUAAAUACUAUAUCUUCCUGAAAUGUUUUGGCUUUUUCAAAAUAUGCAUGAAUAUCACAUAAAAGUCUGUUAGCAUAUUUCUGAAGAACUUCAUUUGUUUCCUUGGUAGAUCAUGCAUGCAGCACUUAGGUUGCAUAACAUGGAGACUCGAGCAUAAGCUACUAAUAAAAUCGAACUAGAUUUUCUUUCCUUGAUAAAGUCAGCUGGUUUAGCCAAACAAGCAGAAGACGUUAUAGCUAAAAAGGAAAAGAAGAAAAAUCCAGAAAAACCACCUUCAUGUGAGGCAGAAUGCUUCUGUCAGCAGCUUUGGCUAUCCGAAUGAAUGAUGUACAAAUUUGCAGCCUUGCAUGCCGUGCAGUACUUGUAGCAGGAUCCUAGCAACCAAAUAAAAAGCACUAGUUAAAUUUGGAACCCUUGACAACUGAUGAUAUUUUAAAAUUCAUAUUAAUUAAUCCCACAAGAAAACCUUAACAACAAAUGGAAGUGAAUUCAGAAGCUCGAACAGUUUAUUGACAACGCUGCCCGCAGCAUCUGGGAAAUAUUUCAAAAAGGGACCCAAUGCAUCUAAAUAGUGCCCAAGGACUUGUACAAGAGCUGGCUCCGUCCAUUUCAAAGGAAGAAGUCGUUGAAGUAAACCUUCAAUUCACAAUAACCAGAAUUUUUCAGCAAGCUUUAAGCUUGAAAACAAUCCAGAAAAAUAAAUAGAAGUUGCUAAAAACCUUCAAAUAUUCUACACAAGGCAAGGUGAACUUCAGAACUCCCGCCUGCAAAUUCAUGUGAUCCAUCAAAAAUUGCAUUUACAACAUUUUCAAGAGCCACUUGCGUGCUUUCCAUCACAGCUAAUUCCUGAAUUUUAAAAAGAUGCAAAUAGACGAUAGAGAAAAAUAAACGUCAGAUCAAAGUGAAGCUGGCCCAGCAAAAAUCCAUAGAUUGAAAAAUCUAACAAGCAAACAUCCAUCAAUAAGUGUACUUAAAAGAGUUCAUUAAUACACCUGAAUAGGCGCUGGUGAAAUCAAGAUGCUGUUGAUGAUUGAAAAAAUUCUUUCAGAAAUUUUAGUACCAGCUAUUAGGGGCUUAAAUGAAGCAACAAACUUCAUCAACUCAGACUGCAUUAGGAGGGAAUGGUCAUCAGUAACUAAUCCAGAUACAUUAAAACAAGCAACAACAAUCAGUAAUCAGAGAAAAUGGAGAAGAAUUGAAACCUAUAGAACAAAGAGACUUACGAAUAAAAUAACUAAUGUGAGUACAGCGAAUUAUAUAAUGAUGUUUACAAUACAAUAUAAAAUUUGACUCCCAUAACAAGAAGCUACACCGAAGAUGUUAAAGAACAAGAAGAAAAAAAGCAUCCAAGUAAAAUUUACCAGCUUGAAACGGUAUUGGCUAAAAUCACCCUUGCCUUCAAAAUCAUCACUCCAUAACUCCAACACCCCAAGAGAAAGGGACGUCCCAGGAAACACUUUUUCUCUUUUAAGCAUGCGGAGGAAAGUGAUAUCCAAGAUUUCACUAUAAAUCUCAUCACCCAUUAGACCUAAAAUCUUUGCUUUUUCAUUAUCAACCUGCCCAGUACCAGGUCCCAAGCUAUUAACAGCAGAACCAUCUCCAGAUGAAAGUGCAACAACUUUUGGCUUGGACAUUAAUGAAUCUCUCAUUAGUGCCUAUAAGGAAAAAAUUAAAUGUAUUAAGAAUAGCAAAGGUGCCAGUUAGGCUUUGUUAUUGAAUGCAGUGUAACAAUAAAUUCACAAAAAAAAAAAAAAAAUUCACAUACCAACCAAAAGGGCAGGGAUUGAUAAUGAAGAGCUAGCUUAUAGUGUCGGAAAAAUCCCAGCAUCUGAAACAAUAUCAAAGAGUUAGAUCAUAAAUGGUUCUUCAAAAACACAGAUAAUUCACAAUCCUUGCAUGAAAAUCCCAUACAAGUAUCAACCAAUCAUCAUAAUAUAGGUUAUACUAAAGUGUAUCUACCUGUUGCAAAUAAAGACAGAGCAUAUUGCUAUCACCAGAAAUGCAUUGCAAGUUGGAAGAACCCAAAGACACCAUACUCUCACAUACAUAUUCGGCGAACUCAAACUCAUUCUCAUCUAUAGCCCCAGCACUGGACCCAGAUUUGUACAAAAAUUCUCUGGAGACAUUCAUCAAGAUCUGAAAGAUAUUAUUCAUUGCAGAAUCAAAUUCAGAAGCAGAGGCAUCAACAGGUCUCCUCCUGGAAAUCUCAAUUCAUAGAACACCAGUAAUCAUGAGAAUGUGAAUUGUGAAUGCAAAGUUACUUUUACUACUUAAAACAUUAAAUAAGCUAAAAGGCACACCUUGGAGAGACAAGUCUGAAAAACUCACAAGCAUGAAGACGAAAAUCAGCAGAAGAAAGUAAAAAACCACACCUGGGAAAGAGAUAGUAGUCAGAAAAAGUUAGACUUUGAUCCAUACUCAUGAUGUAGAAACUCGGAAGUAAGAAACCAACCCAGCAGUUAUGGGUUAACAUACCCAUGAAUAAUUCCAUAUUUCGCUAGAUCAGGCAAAGGAGCCCAUUCAGCAUAUGCAUUGACAGCAUUAAGAGUAGCUGUUACUGUGGCAGCAUGCUGUUUCGCAGCAUCCAGUUGUUGCUUACCAGCUUCAUGUAAUGCAGCUCCAAAGUGUCUUUCCAGUAACUGUAUAUGGAACAAAGUCAGCACAAUGAAGUGCACUAUAUGCUACAACACUAUAUGCAUAUACACUGUCUGUAAUGAAGUUAAAGUUGGAGGCAUACUGAGUAUAGUAAAGGCAAAAUAUCAGGCAAGGAUUGAGUAAGCGCCCGUAAUAGAAGCCUGCGCCGAUCACCUGAAAAUACAUUCAGAACAAAUAUAAGUGAUGCAAGCAGCAGCAUAUGCACGAUAGAAAAUUAAAAUCUUUGCAUAGAAAAGAAGAGGAAAUAGGAAAACUUAUUUAAAGAAAAGAAACAAAGACAUCAUCAACCUAGGAAGUAAGCCAUAAAACAUUUUCAACAUAUAAUUGAAAUAUCAAUCAACUUUGAGGCUCUGAAAACGAAUAUUUUAGAAUUUACAGAGUUGCUCAAGUUCAAAAUAUUCAAUUUCCUUAAUACAAACAUUUCAAUACCCAAAACAGAUACAAACUAGAAAGUUUUACACUCCAGGCAAAUCAUUAUAGACCUUCUAAAUCCUCAUUGUGAACUGUAAUAUCUUCAGGAAGCCAUCUCAGCAUCAUUGAAACCAAUUCAGCCUAAUAUAAGAAAAAAAAAUGCAUAUAUUAGAAUAAAGCUAAUCAAGCAACAGAAAUACGACAAGAAAAACAUGAGUUCUGCACAGGAAAAUGCAUACUUGAACAGCACCCUGGCCAGACAAGGAAACAAGAGAUGGAAGUAGCUCCUGCCACAGUUCUACACCUUCUCUUCUAACAAUCUAUAGAGGAGCAAAAUUGUCAGUACAUGACACCAGGUAAGACAGCCUACUCAACAGUCAAAGAAAUGUGCUUAGAACCUCAGCAACUAAGGCAGCAGUCUGACUUUUCAGAGCCCAUUCCUCCGAAGAAUUUGCAAUCUCAGACAUCAAUGCGAAAGCAACAUUUGCAAAAUUCCUGCGCUCCAUUGGGCUUAAUUCCUCCCAUCGCAACCGGACCAAAUGCUGCAGAACAUGCAUACGCUUAGGCUUUAAUUGUGAUUGAACUACAAGCAACUUAAGACCUAUUGAUUAAUUCAAUAGAUAUGAAGACCUUUGGGAAGAAUUAACAUUAGUAACAUCAUUUGAUGGUCCAAUAGUGACCAGACAGCCAUGAAAUAAUCAUAUAUAGCUCACAAGUUUAUGAACUUGUGAACCUUUUAAUAAAUUAAUGUAAUCCUGAAUUUAGUUGAUAAAGAAAUAUCAAAGGAAUUACCAUCCAUCAAAGAAACAUGUUGACCUAGAGAAAGUGAAUCAUGAAUUUAUAAAUAUUUCAUUGUCCAUCAGUGCAAGCAUUCCAAGCCUGAAGUAAGUGAUUGACUAAUUAUUUUUGUUAGUUGCUUAGGAUCAAGGUUAUGAUCCAAAAAGUUCAAGACUCAAGACGCAAAAGAAUAUCCAUAUCCCAUGAAAUUCAUUGACAAGUCAUCCUCAGAUCAUCAGUAACAAAAUCAAAAAAGAAAAAGUUCAAUCUUAUAUUCAGAUUCAGUUAGUGUAGUCCAUGCCUCAAUUCAGAUUAAGUUGCUGUGAGGGUUUUCUUUUUCUUAUUACAGAGAAAUAAGAAGUCAAAAGUAUUGCCUAAAAUAACAGUUUGGCACAGUGAAGAACAAGCGAUGACCACUUGUGUCCCACCAACAGCGAAUAAAUACAGAAGGGUCAGCUCCCUAUAGUUUUGCCCCAUGAUUGAUUUUUGCAUUUGAAACAAGGAAAUUAAAGACUUUGAAAGAAGCAUUAUUCGGUCAUCUUGUGACGGUUCUUUCCAAGUAUUUUUUUCCUCACAAUCAAUCUGAAAGUGUUUGUAGGAUAUUGUCAUUAGACUAUCAACAGGAUAUAUCUCAAAAUAGCAUCAAGACUUCUCUACCAAUAAGGAAAGAGAAGGGACAUGUGAGAGUAAACCUGCAGCAUUUUGAAAGCAUGCAACCGUAUUUCGGAAGACCAAUCCUUUUUGACAAGAAGGAACGAGAUAUUUGCCAAAACUUGUACUUCUCCAGUUUUGAUCUGCAGAUAUUGAAAAGUAGAUUAAUUACCUGGUUCUCUAGUACAGUUGCAUGCAAACAAACUCAGAAAAUAAAUAAUUCUUGUUAUACAGUAAUGCCAACAUGUUUCUGAAGGCUAGUUGAUAUAUUUCUCCUACGGAUUGAAAAAAAGAGAGAGAAAAAAAGAGAAUAACUUUAUCACAAUCUUAAACAAACAGGAGCAAUAAUUCGAUAAUCAAUCACAAAACUCUACUUCCAAAAGUAAAACACACAUUUGCCUCUCAACUUCAUAUUUAUUUAACCAAACCGUACCCUCACAAUUCAAACAACCGCUAAGAUCAUGAAACUUGAUCAACUUGCCAAUCACCCCCAAUAUUAAUAUUCAUUGAAACCAGACUCCAGUAGAGUUGGAUAGCAUUGAAGCAAACAUAACAGCAACAAACAACCAAACCAUUAAUUACUACCCGUUUGCUAAAAACUCGGAACUCAAUCGGAGUACUAAAGAUUGCUUAUACAAGUCGUCAAAUUUAUGACUUUUAAUCAAUUCGCAACAGUGUACACAAUCAAAAUUCAAGAAGUUCUGGUGGAGAUAGUGAUAGAGAAAAGGGCAAAGAGCAAAAUUAAAUAAACAUAAACACAUUAGCAAGUAUGCUUCUAUAUGUAUACGUAAAGGAGAAAGAGAGAGUGUGCGUACGGAAUCAAGAAAAGAGACGGCGGCUUUGCGAGCAUCAGGAGAAGAGUUCCAAUCAAGAGCUGCAACAAUGGCCCGAGCCACAUUAUUUGCUAUGUUAUUGCUAUUUGUGUCCUCCAUUACCAACAAUAACGAGUCUUUACUAGGUUUUGGAGAAAGGAAAACAAAUAAGUGGAGCGAUUGAAAGAGUUGGGUUGUGUAUGCAACUGAUUGGCUUUGAGAAGAAAAAGAGAAGGAGAAAAAGAAAAGAAGAAGAGAAAAAAUUAAACUGGUUUAGUUAAGUUUAAAGUAGGAUUUUUUAUUUGAAGAGCUGAGGUUUAUAGACGUGUGGAGUUACAUCCCAUCACAUAUGCACCCCACCGUCUCUCAGAUUCUCUCUUAUUUUAUCAAAUGUCUUUUAACUAAUUUAAUUUAAUUUAAUUAGUUGUAUUGAUUUUUAAUUUUAAAUUUUUAAUUCUAUUAGCUAAAAAAAAAAAAUUUUUGACUAUAAAAUCAAGUAAAAAUUUAUAUUAUAUUAUCAAAUCAGUGUAUUGGACUAGAAGUCUACGUAUAUUAUUUUUUAUUUUAUAUUAUACGAUAAAUCUUAUAAUAUAUUUCUUCAUAAAUAAUAAUACAUUACAUUUAUUAUUUUGUAGAAUAAAUUAUUUAUAGAUAAUAAUUAUAACUAUCAAAUUAAAAAUAAUAAUUAAAUAUAUUAUGUUGUUAUCAUAUUUAAUAUAUACUUUCUAUAAUAUAAUAUAACCAAUCAAAUUUAAGUUAUUUUUAUUUUUUAAUCAAUAAAAUUAAAAUCUUUAUUUACAAUAUGCCUUGUCCUUUUUUUUCAUUUUUUUUCUUUUAUCUAACUUAAUAAAUAAAGCUAGAAAAAGAGGGAAAAAGAAAGAAAAGGGUUUUUAUGAAGUUCAUUAGAAAUUAAUUGUAAGUCAUGGUUAACAGGUGAGAUGGGAUAACAAAAGUCUAGUUAUCCUUGACCGGAGGUUUCAAAUUAGAGCUACGAGUAUGCAUCACGGCCUUGGAUACCGGAUGGUUUCUUCCAAAGAGAUAAUCUAAUACACCAACUUAUGCCAUGGAACCAUUUCCAAGUUCGAAGCCCCUCUCCUGCAACUCCAUACAUAGCUUGUAAUGUCCAUAGCUGGAUCGAGUAUAAUCUGACUAAAUUGCAGCAAUAUAGAUAUUCCUUAUAGUUUGAUAUCUCUUAGCAAAGAAAAAAGAAAUACAAGUGCCUCUUUGCAGAAGAAAAAUACUGAUGAAGGUAGUCAACUUGGCUAAGCAAGCUAGUUAGACAAGCAUGGGCCCUUCCAAGUAGCUGGAGUAAAUUCCAUCGUUACAAUAUAUAUAUUGUCAAGGUAUCUGUUGAAAAAAUUGAAGUUGCCACUUAAAAGAAACACUGAAAGAAAGAAAACAUAAGAAUGGAGAUUUCUUUUUUCCACUAAUUUAUGAAGUAGUUGGUUGGUUCUCAACACAAUAAACUUUAAAGAAAAGAAUCAUCAAAAUAUACACAUCAAUUUUCUCGCCGUCCCAAUAGAAAGAACUGAAAAUUUUCUAUAAUAAAAAUGGACACAGAAGUAUAGAAAAUGAAUUCAUUCCCAGGUACAUUUUUAAGUAAAACAAUAACAUCUUUUGCACUCGUGAAGAAGCCAAGCAUGUGUAUGAAAUACCAGUGUCUCUUUUUGCAGUGUACAGGAGAUUUCCAGUUUGGCCAGUAUGUAUGCACUGAAAGUUUAAGCUACACUUCUCUUUCCCUUAAACCUAGCAUUACCAGUUCUAUCACCUGCAGCGUUCUUCUUUCGCCUUGGAGCAUUAACACCAGCAGAGUCGACCAAUGGGCCUGACCAAGUUUGUACUGGCUCCUUUGAACAAGUGAAUGAAGUGGAGCUAUAUGGGAUAUCAGGGGGAAUGACUGCUGGAUCAAAAUGUUGAGAUGAUCCUAAAGGAUAGCCAAGUGUCCCAUCCUGGUGAGGUGGAGGAAACUUCUCACUCUUGCUCUUUGCAUUCGCAUAGGUAAUUAGUCGUCUCCUCUGUGUUAGGAAGAAAAAAAAAAUGUUGUCAAUAAUUCAAGCAAGUCAUCAAGUGUAAAUAAAACUCAAAUUGAGUGUCCGAUUCAAUGAAAUGUCUCUAGAAUUGGCAUUGUCAUUAACACUAAUGCAGAUUAUUAGAUACUCGAUAUCGGAUGAUAGUACCUUACAACUAGCACACAUGGAAUAUAUGUUGCUUCAGCUUAUAUGAUGAAAUAGCAAUUCCAUAAACUAAAGCUCGUUCGUAAGUGAAAUGAUAACUUAUGACUUCCCAACUGGCAUUGGUGCAUGGAUUCUUUUCAAAUCCAAUGGCAACGGGGAGGAGCCAGAAAGCACAAAUAAUAUAGUACUGCUGCUCUCUGCUUAAUGCUAACUUGAUUUAUUUGGUUAUUUCUUGAAUGAUAAAACUAAAACCACGGUGCAUAAUCAUCCAAGAAUUUGCAAGUGAAAGCAACUGCACAAAAAUGAAAACAAUGGUGCACAGACAUACAUCAAUAUUAGAUUGAAGCUCGGCAUUGGAUUCUGGAGCAGGCAUUGCCCUAACAGCACGAUCGCGUGUCCGUGUUUUCUUUACAUUUUCACCCUGGGCCUUUGCAGCAGCUCUUUGUCUGCAAAACAUGAAUAAAGUUUACAUAUUAACAAGAGAGAGACACUAAGUAGACAUGUUAUACAAACACAAGAGGUACAAAAUCCAGGUGUGUAUAUAUAUAUAUAUAUAUAUAUAUAAGAAUGAAUUUGUCAAGGUAUCUGUUGAAAAAAUUGAAGUUGCCACUUAAAAGAAACACUGAAAGAAAGAAAACAUAAGAAUGGAGAUUUCUUUUUUCCACUAAUUUAUGAAGUAGUUGGUUGGUUCUCAACACAAUAAACUUUAAAGAAAAGAAUCAUCAAAAUAUACACAUCAAUUUUCUCGCCGUCCCAAUAGAAAGAACUGAAAAUUUUCUAUAAUAAAAAUGGACACAGAAGUAUAGAAAAUGAAUUCAUUCCCAGGUACAUUUUUAAGUAAAACAAUAACAUCUUUUGCACUCGUGAAGAAGCCAAGCAUGUGUAUGAAAUACCAGUGUCUCUUUUUGCAGUGUACAGGAGAUUUCCAGUUUGGCCAGUAUGUAUGCACUGAAAGUUUAAGCUACACUUCUCUUUCCCUUAAACCUAGCAUUACCAGUUCUAUCACCUGCAGCGUUCUUCUUUCGCCUUGGAGCAUUAACACCAGCAGAGUCGACCAAUGGGCCUGACCAAGUUUGUACUGGCUCCUUUGAACAAGUGAAUGAAGUGGAGCUAUAUGGGAUAUCAGGGGGAAUGACUGCUGGAUCAAAAUGUUGAGAUGAUCCUAAAGGAUAGCCAAGUGUCCCAUCCUGGUGAGGUGGAGGAAACUUCUCACUCUUGCUCUUUGCAUUCGCAUAGGUAAUUAGUCGUCUCCUCUGUGUUAGGAAGAAAAAAAAAAUGUUGUCAAUAAUUCAAGCAAGUCAUCAAGUGUAAAUAAAACUCAAAUUGAGUGUCCGAUUCAAUGAAAUGUCUCUAGAAUUGGCAUUGUCAUUAACACUAAUGCAGAUUAUUAGAUACUCGAUAUCGGAUGAUAGUACCUUACAACUAGCACACAUGGAAUAUAUGUUGCUUCAGCUUAUAUGAUGAAAUAGCAAUUCCAUAAACUAAAGCUCGUUCGUAAGUGAAAUGAUAACUUAUGACUUCCCAACUGGCAUUGGUGCAUGGAUUCUUUUCAAAUCCAAUGGCAACGGGGAGGAGCCAGAAAGCACAAAUAAUAUAGUACUGCUGCUCUCUGCUUAAUGCUAACUUGAUUUAUUUGGUUAUUUCUUGAAUGAUAAAACUAAAACCACGGUGCAUAAUCAUCCAAGAAUUUGCAAGUGAAAGCAACUGCACAAAAAUGAAAACAAUGGUGCACAGACAUACAUCAAUAUUAGAUUGAAGCUCGGCAUUGGAUUCUGGAGCAGGCAUUGCCCUAACAGCACGAUCGCGUGUCCGUGUUUUCUUUACAUUUUCACCCUGGGCCUUUGCAGCAGCUCUUUGUCUGCAAAACAUGAAUAAAGUUUACAUAUUAACAAGAGAGAGACACUAAGUAGACAUGUUAUACAAACACAAGAGGUACAAAAUCCAGGUGUGUAUAUAUAUAUAUAUAUAUAUAUAUAAGAAUGAAUAAAAUCUUAUUUUUCUUUGCUGUUCAAAAGAAUAUAUACAUAUAUAAGAAUGUCUGGAGAACAAAAAUGAAUAAUUUUUUCCCUCCUUAAUCAGCAAAGAAAUGAAAAUAUGGUGAAAAUGUCCCUAUGAUCAUCAUCGUACCAAAUCCAAUCCUAGGGAAUGACCAAGCAUAGAAUGGCGAGAACACUGAACAGAAUGAUACUACAAACUAAAAAAUCUAGGCCAUUCUUAUCGCAUUGCCUAGAACCUAAAAUAGUUAGUUAUAGCAAAUUCAACUACCACACUGACCCCCACCCCCCUUUUGUUCCUUUUGAAUGGGUAGUAAGUCUGACUAAUUCUGAAUUACAGAUUUUGUUAGUCCUUGUAAUUUCGCUCACAUAUUUUCUCACAUGGAAUGGUGUCUAGCUUGGCACAUUCUGGAGAAAUAUUUUUCCCUUUCUUUUUUUGGAUAAUAGAAUGUUUUCUAUAAAUAUCAUUUUAUCAAAGACUUGGUCAAAAAUAUAACCUCCUAAGCGCCUAAGUGGAUAUCAGCAAUGAGUGUAGCGCACGCCCGUUUCAUGCACCCAACAAACAUGUACAUGGUGGUUAUACUGAAAUGUUGCAGAAGGAAAUAAUAACAAAAGGAGGUCUAAAGAGGCACCUUCGAGCUUCAUCAUCUCGUCUUUUAGCAUCCAUCUCCUUACUUGGGGGAUAUUUUGGGAGGCUAGAAGGUUCACAGGCAUAAGGUUCUGUUGUGAAGAACUGCAUAAGACAAUGUGAAGAAAAUAAUAAGAGGUUGACAUAUGUUGUCUUUUAUCCAACAUCAAAUUGUCCAAAAUGCAUAUCCCACCCCUACUUAAAGUUGGAAGGGCAAAAGGGAAACAGACUUUCAAACAAUAUGCUCAUAAAUGAAGUGAAAAUUGUGGGAUUUCAAGAUAUAGUCACAUAAUUGGAUCUCAUAAAAUGAGCCUCUGACUUGGGCCAAAGCUUGUUUAGAAUCUCAAUGGAAAUAAACUAGAGCUAUUAAAUUUCCAUCACGAACCCAAACACCCCUAAGCUUGAUGUCAGAUUAAAUCAGGAAAUUCAAAUCCAUGCAUACUAGUGAAUCUCAACAUCCAGAACUCUGGUAUAAAAAGGAACCAUUGUACUUCAGAAGCACCACACAGAAGGCAUUCAGUUGAUAAGACUCAACAGAAUAAGAACCGUGGCAAAAUUUGAAGACAAGAACCAUAAUAAUUGAAAAGGAGAUAACUUACUUCACUUCUUAGGGCAGCUGUGGCUGUCUGACGCUCUGCUGGAUCGAUUGCAAGAAGGGUUUCAAUAAGAGGAAGUGAAGAUGGUGGAAAAUCUCUAAACGUUUCUCUUAUGCAUCUUUUAUAAGGCUCUCGAGGUCUAAAUAAAGUUGCAUUUGGCAACUUUGAUUUCUUCCAGUACUCAUCUGAAGGUGACCCACAUAGCUUAUAUAUCUUGUGCAGUUGCUCUACCUAUCUCAUUGAAGAAAUAAUUCUCAUUAGAAUUGAAAAAAUGACAUGUGUACAAGUGUUCUCUAACAACUAAAUUUCCACCAAUCACAAAACUUAAGUAUAUCCAUGCUAAACAAAAUGCUAAUGAAGUUGGAUCACAGAGAUGAAUGUGCUGUUGGAAACUAUGAGACAACAAUAAUAAAGAGCGACUUACCUCGGUACGACCUGGCAUAAUGGGCUUUCCAGCCAACAAUUCAGCUAGUAUACAACCUGCACUCCAGAGGUCCACCCCCACACCAUAAUCAGUAGCCCCAAGGAGAAGCUCAGGAGGUCGAUACCACAGCGUAACCACCCGACUAGUCAUUGGAUGCUUGUGAUUGGGAUCAAAGAAGGACGCCAAUCCAAAAUCAGCAAUCCGGAGUAUUCCUUCAUUGUCAAUAAGAAGAUUUGAUCCUUUGAUAUCACGAUGAAGCACACCACGGUUAUGGCAGUGCUCCAGACCAGAUAAUAGUUGGUGCAUGUAGCAUUUAACCUGAAAUGUGGGCAAAUGGUAGAUACUAAAUGAGAACUGCCUCCAUUAUUGCUGUAACACGAAGAGUUAGCAUACGCAUAAGUAUUAAUUCUCAAGACAAAUUUGGACUGACCUGUGGCUCUGUGAACUUUACUCCUGGACUUGCAGCAAGUCCAGCUAAAUCAUGCUCCAUGUACUCAAAUACCAAAUACAAACUACAUGACAUCCUGGAUGUAACUAAACCCUCCAACUUUACAACAUUCAGAUGAUCCAAUCUUCGUAGAAUAAGGAUCUCUCUAGCCAUAAAUUUCACACUUUCAGGUUCCAAAUUAUCAAACCGGACCUUCUUCAGUGCAACAAUUUUACCUGUUAACACAUCUCUAGCUUUAUACACAUUGCUAUAUGUUCCUGAUCCAAUCUAUCAUCAGAGGAGAAAGAAACAUGAAUAAGAAUACUAAAUCCAACAACAUAAAUAAAUUAGAGAAAAAAAAAAUUCAAUGACAGCAAUAAUAAUCAGCUCAAAUGCCUUCAACCAUCACAGUCUCCUGUCAUUUGAAGUAAACUCCAGAUCACUAUGACCAAGUCCUGAACUAUCUCAGUGAUAAAUCAACGCACCUUAUCUAUCUUCUCAAAUGUGUCUGCCCGCCGUGGAAUCCAUCCACUGAGCGCCUCCCCACACACUGCUGAUAGCCAGGGUGGCCAUCCAGCUGCCACCUGCUCGCCACGCAAAUGCUUGGGUGGGUUACUCAACCUAGGAUUUGGCCUUGACCUCCUCCUCUCCCCCCUAGGUUUUCUAUCUUCCUCCGCUUUCUCUUCCUUCUGGGUGUCCUCAUUUUGAAUCUCAACAACACUACUAGUAUCAGUCUUUUUCACUGGAACACUUUCUAAUUUUCUUCUGGAUUCAACACGCAGGUCCUUGACCUCUUUAGACUCUGAAACUAUGCCAGAGGAUACCUCUCUUCCAAGAACACACCCCAUUUUUUAAAUCUAAGAAUCAUUUCUCAACAUGGUCUACGUGGGUUUCUUCACAAUCAGCAAUUGAUCACUGCAAAUCAAGAAACUAAUCACUAAGCAUAAAGCAACUUCAAGAAAGUAAAAAGUUUACACAAUAUUUUAUCUGCCUGAUCUAAAAAGUACAAAAUUCAAAAUAAAACCAAACUCAAAAAAUCAAAUUGGCAUUCAUACAUAUGAACAAAAGCAAAUCAAAACUCCCUAGUUUACAGAUUCACAGGCCUCAUAAGAACAACGUAAAAAAUUAUCAAAAGGAAAGUAGAAGUAACAGCUCACAUCAUCACCGCUGACACCUCUAUAAAUUAAUGAAUACAUGCAAAUCAUAACCCCAAAGGUUUAAGAUUUAGAGCUUUAAAGAUUCAUUAACAACAAGGAAAAAUAAGAUAUGAUCUAACAUGGGAUAGCGCGGUAAGAUUAAAGAAAACAAGAGAUACAAGUUCUGAGAACAGAAUUGGAAAAAAAAUGAUCUAAUAAGAACAGAAAGAGUUUUAGAAAGAGAUGGAGAUAACUAAAGAAAGUGAUGGGCAGAGACAAAGAUACUUACUUUGAUUGAAUCUGAGUGAAAAGAAAGAGAAAGAGAGAGUAAUAACAUUUGUACUAUAUAGUUUAACAAUCUCCUCUAUUGGAAGUACUAGUUUUUGGUUUCUUUUGGGUCUUUGGAUUUCUUUCUCGUUUUGUUGGGUCCUUUCUCAGACAAAAAAGAGUGAGAGAGAAUUAAAGAAACAUAAGCAGAUCAAUUUGGCUUUGCCUUUGGUUCCUGUUUUCUUCCAAGUCAAAGCCCCCAGGCUCAUCGUCUGUGUCUAUCUCUCUCAUUAUGGAUUUUCAUUCCUACAUUAAUGAGCAUGUUUUUCCUUCAUUCUUUUUGUUUUUUGUUUUUCUUUUUUUUGACAGUUCAUGUACUUUUUUUUUCUUUUUUCUAUAUAAAUAUAAUUUUAUUUAUGUUAUUUCCAUGAUUACCUUAGGUAUGUCAAUCCCGUAUUUGUUAACAACUUUACACUUUAAUCCGUAUAUUCUUUUUGACAUAUGUAUUUUAAUUUUAAUUCCUAUCAAAAAUAAUUUUUAUUUUUUAAAACAUUUGAAUCAUUUCAAACUGAUAAUAUACAAAUUAAAAACUCUGAAUUAUUAAGUUAGAUUAGUAAUACAAUCUAAUAAAUAACAUACAAAGCUUAACCUAACUUAAAUAUAUUAAUGGCUUAAAUUAUCUGUCUAAAGAUAUUGUUUAAUUAAAUUUAAUUAUAUAACCCUUUUUCUUAACAAACAUAUCCUUUAAAUCUCAAUUCAAUUAUGAGGUCAACUUGCCUUUUCUUUCUUUAAUUUUUUUUUUAUUAAGAAAGAUAUUGCAUAUAAUAAGGAAUAAUUAUUUUAUUUAUCUGAUGUAUAUUCCAGAUAUAAAAAUAGGCUCACCCAUGUAACAAUUAUUCAUAGUUCAAAUUAAAUUGUUUAGUGUUGCUUUUCUUUUUCAUUGAUGCAUCUAAACAUUUGCUUUUUUAAACUUUUUCCCUUUUAAAGCAGCAGCAUGUUUGAAAACUGAAAGUUCUUUGACCAGAGGGGGUAGAGAAAAAAGAAACUGUGGCAAAAUUACUUUAUUUAAAUCAUUAAUUUCUUUUUUCAUUAGCAUGAGAAAAUAAAACACUUAAAAUGAUAAAAUUAUAUUACAUAAUAAGUUAUUUAUGAACAGAUUCAGUUGAUUUGUUGAAGAGUGAAGAGUUAAUAUAUAUGUUGUUGAGAUUUGAGAAAUGUUACUCUCCUGAAUUGUAAGAGUUAUGCAUCUUACUCUCCUAGUUUUCAACCAAAAAAAAAAAAAAAAAAUGAAAAUUUGAUAAGGGUAAAAUUUACAUUUUACUACAAUUUAAUUAAAAAAUUUAACAAAUGACUCGAUGGUAAAAUAGAAAAAUUAUAAGAAUUAAAUCCGUAAAUUGAUUUCAAUUUCAAGUAAUCAAAUCACAUAGUCAAAGACAAGAUAGAGAAUAAUAAAAUUUCAAAGAUAUUUCAACCCGUAUCUAUAUAUAUAGCAUAUUAGUUAAGUGAAUGCACCAAUAAGACUUGAGUCUAAUGAUAAGACCAAAGUUAAAACCUUCCCAGAUUCAAACAUAACCUUAUUGCAUGUAAGAGAUUUUCCAACAUUUAUAUAAUUGGCAGUUGAUUAUUAUUGUGAGCUUUAUUAAGUUUGUCACUAUUGCAAUGUUAUUUUAUAAUUAAUAGUGUAUAACAUAUAUAAUGUAUUUUGGGGAAAAAAGAAAAAGAAAAAACAAAUUUAAGCUUAUACAGUUUUUUUUUUCUCAUUCAAAAUUAACCCCAUUUCAAUUUGAAGUCUUGAAUAUGCAAAUAAUUUGCCAAAUAUAAUUUUCAUAAUAUGUCCACUUCUGACAGAACAACUCAUCAAGCCCAUAAUAAAUUUGAAAAAUACAUUGGAAAUAAGUUAAGAAGCCACAUGGAUGAACCUAAGAAAAGGAUAAAAAAAAAAGUUGUACAGUAGAGAGAAGUCAGGAGUAGCUACUUAAUUUCUCCAAAAUUGCCAAGUAGCCUUUAACCUCAAAUUUCCAAAUUUUCUCAAUUCUCACUUUUUCUUUUCUUUUUCUCUUUCUUCUUGCUUGGAAUUUCAGACUCUUCGUCUUGUUCAGCAUGCUUUCGCUUCUUUUUCUUCUUUUCUCCUGCAUCAAUAUUCUCACUGCCAUUUUGCACAUCAUCAAUUUCAGCUUUAUGCUGCUUCUUUUUCUUCUUUUCUUUCUUUGCCUCCCCUUCAUUUUCUUGCUGGGAAGUGCCAUUUGCAUCAUUUGGCACAGCUGUUUCCUCUUCAUCAGUUUUUUUCUUUUUCUUCUUCUUUUCCUUCUUCUGCUCACAAGUUACUGGACCAUCUUCUGUUGCUGCCCCCACAAUAGAAGGUUCUGCCUCAUUGUCUCUCUUUUUUGGAACAAUUUCUUCUCCAUUCCCAUCAGUGGCAUUUGGUGUUUGCCCAAGAACCGCAUCUGCAGCAGGAUUAUAAGCCUGAAAAAAGGUGAAAAGGAGUUAAUAAUUACCAGCAGAAUGUAGGAGUAAACAGAGAACCAAUAAAAAUAAAGAUGGACCUUGGCAGGAGUUAUCAAUCCUCCAGCUCCCUUCUUACGGUCCUUGUCAUAAGCUUCUAUCUUUGGUUUGCCUUUUGCAGAUCCAGCAGAACGACUCAAUUCUCUACCUUCAAGAUUUCUUAAUCGUGCCUCGAGCUACAAUAUCACAGUUAAGAAAUUCCAUAAUAUAUAUACAGAGACACAAACACACAUGUACUUAUGCAUGCAUGUAAAGCUUUUCAUAGGCAAAAAAAUUUUUAGGUACCUUGGCUCGGUUUUCCAGUCCCAUAGAGUUAUCUUGGCCAUCUCCAAAAGCAUCAUACCGAAUUGCCAGUGCUGCUUUAGCAGCUAGGGAUCUGGAAAUUUUCCCCUUCGUCUUAGCAGCUGCCUGACCAACCAAGGAUGCAUGGAAAAUAAGCCCAUAUUUGGGAGUUGAAUGCUUUGUCUUUAAAGCUCUGAAAAGAGCCUUUUCUGCCCCAAGAAUCUGAACUGUGCUACCAGGCUGCUUCGCCAGAUUCAAUAAGCUACCCCCAUGCGCAAUGAGGCGGGCUCCAACAAGCUCCCCUACAAGGGCAGUCAAAUUUGGUGCGAUGGUGUUCAUCCUGCUUUUAAGAUAAUCGUACAGUUGAGCUCUGUAUUCAGCCAAAGAUAAAACCUGGUCACACAGCUCUCUAAUGUUCAUCAAAUCAACUUCACUGACUUCAGUUCCCAUAGAUAUUAAAGAUGCUUCCUUCAGUUCUGCCUCAACGUCUUCUGGUAAUAUCUGUGAAAUUUCAAGAGGGAAAAAAGGUAUAAAAUUUAUGAACAUGGCUUUAAUCCUCUGAGAUGAUGUUUGUCCAUAUUAUUAGCAAUAAUGUGCUCAAAGGCAACAACAAGGCAACAAUACUGUUCAGGUGGAGACACUUGCCAUCAUAUGGCAUAACCACAUAAGCCCAAAUAACACAAAAAGAACCAUGCAAAUGGUUAAGAUUCAUGAUCUCAGUAGCACACAAGACAUAGAUGCAGAGAACACCAUGUGACUGCAAUAAACAAAAUCAGAUUUUUCUUUUUUUUACCUCAGAGAAAUCAAGCUUGACAGCAUUCUCACGGCUACCCAUCAGUUUCACUGCUUUGGCAUAGAGGAUGUUGUCUUGUACAAUCUUAGCAAGUUCAGGAAAAUGCCAACCAUACCAUUCUCUAACUCUCAUUGCAAAUGUGUUGAGCUCCUUAUCAAGAUCAUCAAGCAAACCAAUAGCUUGAAUGAUCAUUGUAUCAACCUAAAACAGAAAGUUAGCAAGAGAACUCCAAUGGCCCAAAGAAAUUUAAAUAUUCUUUAUGAGACUUGGAAACAACUCCUAAACAACAUAGCCAUAAUUUGUCAACAUAAUGGAUAAAAAUAUUAUUCAGAAACUUUCUGUCACGCUAAUAGUCUUUUCUCUACCGGAAUAAAACCUCCCAUUAAGAAGAAACCUGGACAAAUCCAUGGGAGGUCAGAAGAGAUAAGAACCUAUGGAGUAUUUUAUAGAAAAACAUAUUAAAGAACCUGACUUCACAUAUUUCACCAAGCUGACUUCCAAAUAAGUGACAAAUAAGUAAUUUUAAUUGAUAGAGUCAAUAGCAAACACUUUUGCAUCAGUAUCACCAGGCUCAGGAUAAACUACUAUUAAGUCCACCACAGAACUGGCUUGUGCUUUGAACAGAAAAUAGGCACAGACAAGUCACUUCAACUAUAGAAACUAAAAACCACCCAUUCAAGAAAAGUACCUUGUCAGGACUGAACUUCAGUUUGUACCUAGACAGACUAUGCGAUAAACCCAAGCUCAUUGGUGCCAAAUCUUGAGCACCUAGACCAGUUAUGAGUUCAGUCAACUGACUCCUAACACCCCUCAUCAGUUCCAUGAUGGCAUUGUUGUGAACACAUUCUAUUUUCUGCAACACAAUAAUUGCUCAAACUUAGAAAAAAAAAGAACCAAUUAAAAAUUGAGAAUAUCUGGCAUAAAGAAAUAACUUGUAUAGAAAUAAUCACCAGUUUUUCUUUGAUUGCGUUUCCAAGCUUUGAAUCAGCCACGGCUAGGAUUUCACCCUCACAAUGAGCACGUAAAAACUUGCGCAAACCUUUGCUAGCAGUGCCUUCAAUUAUUUUUGUUGCUGCUUCUAACGCUUCUGAUGUAUUCUCAAACUUGGAAAAAGCUUUCAGCUUGACAACCUGAUGAUUAUACCAACAAAGAGUCAGGUUCCAACUGAAAACAAAAAGGUAUUACAUAAAGAAUAUAAUCACAUAACAAUUUAAAAAGUUUCAUGGUGAAAAACAAAGCCAGACAAAAUAACAACAUCUGAACGGAUUGAAAAAUAAAAUUGAAUAUUCUGAUGAUUCAACAAAGAAAGAAAGGACGUUCCACAACAUACUUCUUAUCUACCAAUUACACAAUUAUGGCUCUUUGACAAUUGUCAAGUGACAGCCAAAACAGUAAAUUUUGCAACAGCAGCACAAUGGGAUGUAUGCAAACUAAUUUUUCAAAGGGAAAAAAAAAAAACAAAUAUUGGCUCUCCAUUCAGUUCAACAAAUGCACACAGAAAAUGAAACAGAGACAGAGAGAAAGAAAUAACCUUUCUUGCUGAGUCUGCCGUGGAAAAUUCUUUCCAUAAGUCCUGUAACAAAAACCCAAAUUAGAGAGAAGUUAACUGAAAAUUUUUCCAUUUUCCUCCAUUAUGAAAACCAGUAAAACUUGAAUUAUCUAAUCUUCAAACAAUUGCUAACCAAAAAACAAAUUGUGAUUCACAGUGCAAUCCAUGAGAACAGAAAAUAAUCUCAUUCUCAUGUUUCUUCACUCCCCGCCCCCAAUGCCCAGACAGGGCAGAAUAUAUAAAAAAGCAAAAGGCAAUCUUUACCUCGACUUUAGAUAGCUUCCCUUCAUCCAAAACUUUGAAGAGGGCAAAGCCCGCCGGCGUCUCAAACAACACAAGCAUCCUUCAAUAGCUCAAUCACCAACCUCUAACUUAAAAAGGAUUAAAGGAAAAACAGUUAAUCCUACGAACCCACAUAGGCAAAGAUCACAGAAAAUAUAAACGACGAUAGGAGCAAUACAAGAACAGAAGAAGUCAGAUUGCUCACCUCUUUGCUAUCGUGUUCUAGAUUGAGAAAAAAAGAGGAAUUAAGAAGUCUACUAGGGUUUUAAAAGGCCAUAGAAGCGAUCCUCUUCAAUUGGUAAACUGUUUUACUCGCCGUUUUAUUACACGACAACGAGUUUCUGUACUUCUUGUUGUUUGCUGGACACCUGUCAUCUUUGGGGUUAUUUCAGGGAUUAAAAUCUAAGAAGGUGCUUGAAACUCUAGCCUUUGGAUUAUGUGUAAAGAGAAAAGGAGAGAGUGUAUGUUAUUAUCUAUAGUAUUGGGUAUAGACUAGUUUUACUUACUAGGGUUUUAAUUUUAAGGGUUUUUCAGUUUGGGAAUGCUGUGCAUGUGAUGCAGACAAGUCAGGACGAUGCAUU